UCUUUGUCUUUUCGAUCGUGGCUUUGAUGGCAAGCGCCGGGGCGCUAUCCGGGGCGUAGUUCUUCAAAGAAGACUCAAGUUUCUUGAUCUGCUGCUUCUCCCUCUUGGCGAAUUGCUUGGAUUCCUUGCAGGGGGUGAGACCGGAGAUGUCGGCGACGGCGGGGAGAGGAGCGGAGAGGAGGAUGGAGGAGAGAGCCAAGGCAGCGGAGAAGGCUUGAAGAGAGGAAGAGGUGUUUUGGUUUUGAUUUUGGGAGGCGGAGCAGAGAAUAGAUGAGGAGGGUUUUGGCUUCAAGGCGAGUGGGGAGCUAAAUUUGGGCUUCAAGAGGGGUUUUGAGAGGUUAGUGGGGAUUGUGAGAGACAUUGUUGAAAUGGGUUCGAAGGAAUUGGGAAUUGCAGGAAGAAGAAGAUGGAGAUUUGGAGAAAGAGUGUGGAGGGAACGGUUUUAGAUUCAGAGAGGAUCAUGAGAUUAGUGGUGGAGAAGGUGGUUUUGGAUAAGAUGAAGAGAGUAAGGGAAAAGCUGAGUUGGAUAGUUGUAAUUGGCACAACUUUGUAUUAUGAUUCUCUCCUUCUAUCUUGGAUAAGAGACCAACCCCACUUCAUUUGUCCUUUUCUUUCUUUUUUUUUCUUCUCUUCUCUCUUUGAAAAAUUAUGAUGGACUAAGCCAAUUGGAUGCUUUUUUUUUUUUUCUUUUAUUCCUAGUUGUCCAUCUUAGUUAACUCAAUUCAUUCAACUAUAUUUAUAUUUUACUCAACAACUUUCUAUUUUUUUUAGAAGAGAAAAUUGUUUGAGACCAAAAGAAAUUUUAGUGUAAUGCUCCAAGUUUAUAACGGAGGACGUGGAUGAAUUGAGAAUACAUUCGAAUAGACAUGAAAAUACUACCAAAAGAAAUGGUAGUUUUCUCUUAUAAAGGAAAUCACUCUCCAUCAGUCACUUGAAAUAACCUCUCGAAUGGUUAAUCGAGAAUCACCUUAAGUGAUUUUAUGUUUCCGGCCGUUCAUUGUGAUUUUAAUUCCAAACUGAUUUUAAUAAUUUCAAUGUGACUCUUAGAUAUGCUUUUAAACUUGUAAUGUUUCUGUAAAAUAUGCCUUAAGACUUGUAUUCUUCCUCCAAUAUUGUAAUCUAACUUCUUAACAUGAGUCUGUUCUUUUUAUUUUUUCCACACGGAUUUUUAGUUUACUGAGAGACUUAGGCAUGUGGCAUUUCAGUUGAUGGACUGCUUAGAGUUAAAAAUUAAAACGUAAUUUUAAAUUUUUCUCUAUUCUAAUUAUAAACAAGAUAAAAAACAAUAUUUUAGUCCCUAUAAUUUAUACCUUCUAAUUCACCCCACAACUAUAGUAGCUUCAAUUUGGGAUAAAUAAAGACAAUGUCAUCAAAAGGUUUUAUAUAAUUGAGAAUUAUGAUACGAGUAUUAAAUUGGAACACAGAAAUAUGCAACAAAUCCAAUAAUUUGAAAUGAGAAAGAUUACUAUGAAGUAUUAAAAUCGUCUUUGAAACAAGUCUUAAAAACUGCAGGAGAAAAGAUUGAAUCGAAAACGGUGAGGCAAAAAUGUAAGAUAGGAUCACAAAAAUAGUCUCAAUCCAAAGGUGGGGUUUGAUUUACAACGCAUUACAAAACCAUCACAAUUUUGGAAUUGUUUCAAAUUUAGUAAAUGACGAGGAUUGAUUAGCUGGUAUGAAUCUACAUAAGCAUAGAACAUGGUAAAUUUUGCUGUUAUAUGGACAACCAUUCUAAAUACAUUUUAGAACACAAAACUUGCCUGUUGAGUUCACACGUAUCACCACAACUCAAAAAAAGGGCAAUGCCCACCCUGCAUUAUAUUUUUUUUUUCUUUUUGUUCUUUUUUUUUUUUUUUUUCCCUCGCCUUCAGGCAUAUACUGACAAAGCUCACCUGAGAGAUACAAUUGAAUCCUAGACCGGAAUUUUACAUGAACUAUGAAAACGAUUACUCUAAACCAAAUUACAUUAAUAACUGGCAAGUUAAAAGCAUAUAAUAUAACGAUCCUAGCAUACACCUGAAACAUAAUAUUAAUUACGACCAAAGAACAGUUCUCCUGGCUUCCUUGCUUGAAAAAUGGCAGAAGCAAGCUUAUGUCUGCUCAAUUUCAUUUCAUCUCGGCUUAGCAUAUGAGCUUUUAAAGGACUUAUGAUGAAAACAAACGCCUUCAAGUGGUAAAUAUUUAAGUUCCCAACAUUGGCAGGUGAAGCAUCCAUCCAUAAUUCUUAUAAUUUUAUGAUGCAUUGUUCCAUGGCAUCAGUAUAAUCAUCACCGCAACGAUAUGUCUAGUACUUGGACUACCCAGGUCAUGCAUGCUAUUCUACAAUAUAACAGAGAACAGAUCCUUGACAUUAACUUACAAGUGAUUCUCGUGAGCAUGUCUUUUGAGCUCCCUAUCUGAAUAAAUGGAUCGAUUCUUGCAGUUUCCAUCGUCCAAAGCAUGGUGGUGGUUAUUUGACAUAGAAUCGUUCCAUUUCUUUCCUUCGUUGUGCCAAUCAGGGGACCUUCCAGCUUUUCUCUUUCGACUAUUCAAAGCUGGGGAAGCGUCAUCUAGCAUCUCUCCUUCUUCAACUACACUCUCUGCUUUGGCCCCCCAUGAAGUGUGGUUCUUGGUUCCCGCAUGAUGCACACUUGAAGAUUCCUCACGAACCUUUCCAUCAUCUUGAUUAUCAAUAACCUUAGACCGCCUGUUUUUCUCAUCCUCUGCAGCCAAUUCUAUACCAUCUUCCAGCUCUCUCUCAAUGAGAUCAUCUUCAUCCAUCACAUCUUUCUUCCUGGAAAUCUCCCCACGUGAUUUUCUCCUUUUCUCAAGUGCUGCCUUGACUUUGUCUCUAUCAAUCAUUUUGAUGGCUUCUUUGGGUGACUGCCCAAUGGGACCUUCCCGAACCUCAACAUUUCGAGAAACUAUAAUACUAGACUUGUGAGAUACACCAUCGUCCCUCCAUUCUCCUGCUUCCACAGUCUCACUUUUACUAGUAUUCCUUUCUUUCUCUUCUCCAACAUGCUCCACUACAGAUCUUGUUAUAUCUGAAAUAUCUUUGCUAUUGUCCUUGUAGGGCAUUUCAGCAAUAUGAUAACUAUCUGUUAAUUCUGGGUCGACCUUAUAACCAGUAAUGGUACUUCCCCCCUCCGUAGCAGUCCCAUUGCUCUUACCAAGAUUCUGGGCAGCUCUUUGAGGUAUCCCAUGAUUGUCUCCAUAUGAAUGCUCAGGUGCUGAACAAGAUGACAUUUGCUUUGAAGUCUGUUCCUCAGUUGUAGCUGUAGCCUUUGCUACGUUAGGAUGACUCGGACCCCCUGCAGUACUUCCAUCUACUUCACUUCCCUGAGCCACUGGCACACGAUUUUGCUCAUAUAGUUCUAGCAUUUGAUUGCUAACCUCUGCAAAAAAAAAAAAAAAAAAAAAAAAUCAAGUGAUUAGUUGAAAUCCCAGUUGCUUAACUCAGUAUGAAACAGCAAUAUUAUCAUAGUCAACAUUCAAAUCCUGAAGCUCUAUGACCCAAAUCAGAUGAUAGUACGUCACAUUCUUUCAUUAUUCUUCACAGCAACAAGGAACGAAUUGUGAAUAUCUAAAAUCUUCCAGUUCAGUUAAGGUUGGCAUUUGGACAAUUCUAAAGGGACGAGAAUUACAAAUAUCAGAGCCACAAACAGAAAAGGCUGUCAUUUUAGGUCAGAGAUUAUUUAAGUUGAAAAAAUGAAGCGGCACCAACCCUCCAAAUGGCGAGGGGUCACGUCAAAUUCUUGCCACCAAACUUUUUCCCCAUCUGAUGGAAGCUUCACUUUAAGAAAUUUGGCAGCAAGAAAAAUGGCACCUGCUGCAAUGUGAUGAGGCUUAAACUGCAGACAGAGUGAUGUCCUCAACCUGCCCAAAGAACUAGUGUCAGGAGUUCUUUGACGAGUUUCAGAAGAGUGAAUAGAGAGAAGAAAGUAUCUAGUAGGAACUAGUUACUACAAGAUUCAUGAACAGACAAAUAGCUUCAUGGUCUUACCCAUCAUUGACAAAAUUCCAUGCAACUUGAGCAAGUGCAUUCUGGGCAACCUUAAAUUUUUUUAUUGCUUCAACGAGUGGCUUGUAAGGGUGAUGAAUAUUCAGGUCAAAAGCUAAGGUCGCAAGCACAACUCUCUCACCAAGUAAAAUUAACUCCUUCUGUUGCUCAUAAACUUCCUGCAAGAUUUAAAGAAUGAGAUUAGAAAGAAGUGAAAAAUAAAGUGUGCACAUCCAUGAGAGAGAACAGAAAUUAGGAACACCAACUACUGUAUGGGUAACUACCAAUUUAGUAAGCAAGAAAAUCAACAGAUUUUAAACGGCAUCAGUGAGAAACAACCUUCUGUUUGAUCCUCUGGGCUGCGCCAGGAUUUUUAGUGUGAAUAAUUUCAUAGGAAACAAUGAUUACAUCCUUUAGUGGGCGAGGCGUCUCUUCAACUUUCCCAGCAAGGAACAUGCAGACAGUCGCAAUGGUCUGCAUAUCAUACUAAUAACAUAAGUCUAAAUAUCCCGAUGAUCACUCAAUAGCUCUCUAUUCUUUUCUCUUUAACAUACACCAUUUUUCAUGCUAUUACCUUCUACAUGAUAAACUUCGUAAAUAUUGGCUAAUAUAUUCAGUAAAGAACACUUAUGAACUAUUUAUGAAUAACUUAAUUAAUCUAAAUAUAAAAUUAAACAGCUAAACCAUAGUAAACCAUAACUACACAAAAGGACAAAAGAUCCUUCCUGAAAAAUAUUCCAACACAAUAAAUAGCAGUAAGUGGACUUUUUUUUUCCUUUUUUUGAGACAUGGAAUAUUACAUGUUAGUGUUGAAACUAUAGCAGACAGCUUUGUUAGGUACUUAAGAACCUUGGAGAACCACACCCCAAAAACAAAUUAUGUACCACAUUGGUCAUUCCAUUCUAACCAACGUGGGACAUAGACAUCCCAUAACUACCUUAGUUCCUAAAAAUACCCCAUUGCCGGAAAGUCAACGUCUAGGCGGCUACUCCGACGAUACUUCACUUGUCCACACCAUCAGAACUCUUUGCCAGUUCCACUUCGAAACGUUGACAACUGGCUCUGAUAUUACUGUUAGGUACUUAAGCUCCUUCAAUAACCACCACCCAAAAGCUAGCUAUUGGGGUAGGAGAGCUAAGCCACUAAAGUAUCACAUUGGUCAUCCCAUUCUAACCAAUGUGGGAUAAAACAUCUCAUACGUACCUUGGUUCCUAACAAACUUUCAACAAUACCCAUGAGUCUAGCAAGGAGGUAUUUUGGCAUCGUUAUUCUUUUUCACCACUUCUAAAUUAUUUUGUAAUUAUAGUUUUAUCUCAAAUUGUUAAGGAUUGGUCAUCGUUUUAAUAAGCCUUUGGUGUGAGGAAUAUCUCAUCUCCCCCUCCAUAGGUUACCCCCUUAUUUUUUGUUUUAAAACGGAGACAAAGUACUUUACUAGUAAAAACAACUCAAAGUACAAGAGAUUUAUACGAUAAGCAUAAUAAAGAAGCCUAGAGAGCAAUAAGUGAGGGGGAUCAGAAGGUGUACCCAGACAUCUCAACUAGGUUGACACCCCUUAGCACCAAAACAACAUAUCCCAAUUAAAGCUAGAAAUAAAAUAUGCCAAAAUACAAUGGAGACAUAAUCCAGCCUAAUACAGAGAGCUGAGACAGAGAAAUAAAUAAAAUAAAGAAAGGGAAAUGGGGCAAACACAACAAGGUUAUCCCUUUUUAAUAAAAACUUCCUUUCUAAAACAAACUAUUAAAAAACACUAAUUAAUUGACUAAAUUAUACACAUAAUUUUUUUUAAAAAAAAGUAGUAAAAACUAUAACCUCUUGAGAUAUGAGGGACUCCUUAACCGCGAAACUUCCAUUUAUUGUACAUGAUAAUACUUAAUAAAUGGAUAAAAGUAUUACAACAAAAUCCUAUAUUUGCGAAAGAUAGAAAUUAUUUGGACCCUAAGGGCAUUGCUACUAGUCAAAUGGGGUUCAAACAAUAAGUUUAACAAAUUUGUUUUUUGACAAUGUUACAGAAUUUUGUGAUCAAACUGUAAAUAUUUAGAAAACUAACACAUUUUUAAAAAAAAUGUAACUUUCAUUCAGAAAAAGAUAAGCAUACUAUUUCGAGAGUAUAGUUACAAACAGGCUUCCAAAUCGAAGCCCAAUGAGAAAACUAACACUUACGUUUUUAAUGAAUCCACAUAUUAAAUUUAAAAAUUAAUUUAAAAUACAUAGUUACAUUAAAUUGAUAGAAACAAUGAUAAGCAUACUAUUUCAUGUUAUAAACUUAUUUCAUUUUUGUUAAAAUUAAAUACAAAACAGAAUAAAUUAUAAAUUAUAUAAUAUUGUAAAAAAAAAAAAAAACAAAAUAGACAAGAAAUAUUCAUAAAUUAAUUAACCAUAGUUGAUAUUCAACCAAAUAUCUCAUUAGUAACAAUAGCUAUUUUGUUGUCUAUAAGUAUAUAAAGUGAUUUUUCUUUAUACAAAACUUAACGCCACUUUAUUCCAAAUAUAACAAAUAACAAUAACUAUUUUAAGGAAACAAACUCCCCAAGGAAAGAUAAGAAGAAACAAAUAAGAAUCAAGAAAACCAACCAACAGAAAAGAAAGGCCAAAACAGAAGCCACAAGAAAGACUUGUCUAAACAUAGAUCCAUAGUUUUCAACAAAUUCAACAAGGCAUUCACAAGAUACACUUAAAAGACCGAUUAAGAAUUGUUUAUAUUUCAUGACUCCAUAUCAAUCACACUCUUUUCACUGCUAAGACAUCUGACUGCCCUAUGUUACGAGUUAGUACAAUAACCUAUCUACUAUUCACUAGCAAGGACCUAAAUGGAUAUGCUGCCCCUACAUAAGCCAGAAUUUUUUUAAAAAAUCCCUGAUUGACACACCAUGAAAAAAAAUAUCAGGUGCAUAACUUUGUUAUAAGUAAUCUAAACAAGAAGCAUACCCUUCUGUCAUUCUUUGCAUGGGACUGCCGGAGAAAGAAUCGAUGACAGAAUAUUAUAGCUGUGGCUAUUGUUACUUGAGGCCUGCAUUACAUAUAAUUUUGGAAGCACUAGUAAAUCAACAGCUAUAUAAGAUGAUUAUCCAUAGUAAUAUAAUGGAAUCUUAUGAACUUUUUUUUCUUGGAAUAAACAAAACUUACUGUAGACAAAAUGAAAAGAGAUUGAUGCUCAAAGAUACAAUGACCAUCGAGAGAGAAGAGAAACAAAACUAUUGAGUCACAGUGAAGAGAAAAACUUCAGACUAUUACAAAUGAAUACUUCUGAGUAAAAGAAGGUACACCUAGUGGCUUUGAAAUUGAAAGGUGUGUCAGUAUAGUGGAAUCAAGUAGAGAUGAAUCAACAAAGCAAUGGCAAGAGAAUCAUUCGGUCUUGGGAAAAAAAUGAAGUUAAUAAAGGCAUGAUUUCUACCUCCAAAUUAUGAAUAAACAUUGUAUAAUCAAUAUCAAAAUUGUAGACAAGAGAGAAGAUCGGUAGCUGAUUAUAUUGAGGAGUUAUCAUCAUUUGGGUGUAAGAACAAACAUGAUGGAGAAUGAACAGCACUUGAUAGCAAGAUUUGUGGGAGGUCUACUCAUGGAUAUCAAGGAAAAGGUAAAACUCCAACCUUUUAAUUGGAUUUCUAAGGCAAUUUCUUUUGCUGAAACAGUGGAAGAGAUUGAUGAAUUGCACUUCAAGAAUGCUUCAAGAAGAGGAACAUGGGAAUCUACUUUGAACAAGUAGACAGCCGCACCAAAUGCUACUAAGAACCAGCCACCCAUUUAAAAAAAAAAAAAAAGCAAGAUAAAGCUAAAGAGAGGGUAAUUUGUGUAGCCUACUAAAGGUAAGUUCUCUCUCCCUCUCUCCUCUCUCCUCUCUCUUUUCAGGCUACCAGCAAAUCCUCCCGGUUUUCUCCCUGCCAACUGAUUAUUAAAGAUACAAUAUGGAAGUAGUUAGUUGCAAAGACUGCACUAGGAGAGAGGGAGAUCAAGUUCAUGUUGAAGAUGUGGAAGCUUGUGGAAUCUUGUCAGUCUCUAAAAAUCAGCUAGAAUGUUUUUGGAAGCAGUCUCGGAAUUAUUCAAAGGGCCAGACGCAAGAGGAUACGUACUUGCAAAAGCUUGGAGAUUUGGAUAGGUGUUAAGCUUGGUUGGGUGUUAAGCUGCAAAUUCUGGCCUAAAUCAGGUAGUUCAAAUUUAAAGGUGUGUUCAGGGGAAAAUAAACAGGGAUGGAAGUCUUUUCUCAACAUGUUAGAAAAUUUCUCUUCUACGGAUGAAUGAAUAUGUCAAAUGUUUUCGCGUAAUCAUUCCAAGAAUACCUUGUCAACAUUGGCAAGCAAUCCGAGUUAUGCAGAAAAGGUCAAAACAAAAGAUGUCAAUGAUUUUGUUACAAAGAAAGGUAAAGAGGAAGUCGUUGUUGCUGUAGUUCAGACUACAACAAAUGCCCAGAAGGUCUUUCUCGUUCUUCCCCAUUUUGAAGCCAGAAAAACAGAGUCAAUGGGUGAUUAAGAUUUAAGAACACUGAAGUUAUUCAAGCAUCUUUGGAUUGUUACUACUCUCUGCUUUCGAUGAUUGGAGAGAGAUCCAGAAAAUGUUGGAAAUCUAUUUUCAAGCGAAGAUCAUUAUAGAUCCUUUGUUCGACGAGAAUGCUCUCAUAAGUCUUGACCAAGGCUCAAUUGAGGACUUCAUCAGUGAAGAAGGGAAAUGACAGGUGACGGGGUCUUUUCAUCUUAAAUUUGAAAAAUGGGAUAAAUCCAAGCACAGUUGGCCACUUGUCACAAAAGGUUUUGGAGGCUGGUUAAAAAUCAAGAACCUUCCUUUGAAUUGUUGAAAAUCAUUGAAAGGCUAUAAUUACAAAAGUGUUUGGUGUAAUUCACUCCACCAAGAUGCUGUGUGUUGCAACACAGUCCAAAAAGAAUCAAAAGAAUUAUAUCUAUCUUCAAAAAUUCUACUACUCCUUUCUUUCCAAAUGCACCACAAAAGGGAUCGAGUCGCACAUUUCCAUAAGAUGUUUCCUUUUGGGCUAUAACCUCUAAUGUCGAGUCCUUCAAUCAUCCAACUAUCAAUCUGCAAGAAGCUGUGUGUUGCAACACAGUCCAAAAAGAAUCAAAAGAAUUAUAUCUAUCUUCAAAAAUUCUACUACUCCUUUCUUUCCAAAUGCACCACAAAAGGGAUCGAGUCGCACAUUUCCAUAAGAUGUUUCCUUUUGGGCUAUAACCUCUAAUGUCGAGUCCUUCAAUCAUCCAACUAUCAAUCUUACUAGGAAGACAAAGCUCCAAGUCAAAAAUCCUAAACAAAGUGUUCCAAGCUUUUUUUGUAAAGAGACAGUGUAGAAAUAGAUGAUCCAAAGUUUCCUCUUCUUUGGAACAAAGACAACACAUCGAGGGGCUAAGCAAUGUGUUCUGAACAUUUUUUUGUAGCUUCUCAUGAGUGUUAAGGCUUCUGUAAGCAAGCGACCAUAAGAAAAACUUCACCUUCUUCGGAAUUUUGUUCUUCCAAAUAUGACUAAUCAAAGGAACAGCGAUGGAGGGGGAUCUCUUGUUUCCUUUUAAUGAUGCCUGGACUGCUCUUUUAAAAUAUGAAUCCUUAGGAGCAUGCUAUAUCAAAACUUCAAAGUUGGCUCCAUAACGUAAACUACCUUUUAAGAGCUCACUCUCGAUGAUAAUCCGGAUCUUUUGGAGGUUUGCAGCUCCAAAGCCCAAGCAUCUGCUUGUCUUAACAAGUCAGCCACCGCUUCCCCUGAUCUUAAGUUUUUCAAUUACUUGAGUUUCACGGACCCUAAUACAAAAAUCACCUUAUUACGAGGUUCUCCAUGCCACCCUGCUGAUUCUGUCAAGAAGAAGGUGAAUAUAAAGCAGGCUUGCCUUUUAGUGUUAGUAGUGAAGACCCAACAGAUUUGAAAAGUCCUUAUGAUCAUAAGACUGAUGAGGAAGUCAAGGGAGUGGAUCUGAAUGUUUUGUUCGAAGGAUCUAGUGUGUCUAUAGUCAAUGAUUACGUUAUAAUCCUGGUCUGAGCAAGUUCCCUUGUCAAUUCACUUUGUAAUCUCACCUAUGAAAGUAGGUUCCUGGAAUACAAGAGGCCUGAAAGAUCCUUCCAAGCGCAUAGCUCUUGAGAUAUUUCUUAAAAACCUUAAUCUGAAUGUGGUCCUGAUCCAGAGUCUAAAAUGGAGAGUUUUAAUGCUGAAUUUAUAAAAUCACUAUGGAGCUCCAAAGAAAUCGGCUGGAACUUUGUCGAAUCAGUAGGCUUUUCUAAGGAAUUCUCACUAUGUGGGACAUGAGUAGGAUUACAGUGGUUGAAACCAUUAAAGGGAGGUUCUCUUUCAAUUAAAUGCUCCACGGUUUGCAAAAAGAUAUGCUGAAUUAUCAAUGUGUAAGGCCCUUGCAGACAGAGAAAGAAGAUUCAUUUGGUCAAAGCUUUUAUUUCUUUUAGACUGCUAUGACUUGAUGUAUGAGUGGAGAUUUUAAUGUUACUCGUUUGGCCCACGAACGUUUCCCUUUUGGCAAAAGCACACGAGGAAUGAGGUUAUUUAACUUCAUUGAUUUGGCAAACCUUAUGGAGAUUCCAUUUUAAAACGGUAGAUACACCUGUCUAGAGAGGGUGGCGGCUCAGAAAAGUUAAAACAGCAGUUAAAGCUUGGCAUGCUUCUUUUCAGGCUUCCCUUCAACGGAAGACAGUUUGUUGAAGGACUUGGAAAAUUGAAGAGGAACUACAUUUAGAAGAGCAAACUGAAUUGGCUGGUUGUGGGGAAUGAGAAUUGUGGUUUUUUCCACCGUUUUCUAAACAAAGAAAAAGGAGGAAUCAAAUUACGAAGUUGGUUGAUGAUCAAGGAGUAGCAAUGAAGUCCUCUCAAGACAUUGAAAGGGUCAAUUUCGGUUUCUUUGAUGUUUAAUACAAAAGGAUUCCAAGGGAUAGAUUCAUCCCAUUUAUCACUGAUUGGCCUUGUGUCACCCUUAGUCAAAAUGCGCUACUUGUUAUCUGCUUCUCAAAUGAAGAAAUCAUCAAGGCAAUAAAGGCUCUUGGAAGGAACAAAGUUUCAGGUUCAGAUGGUUUUACCACGGAUUUCCUUGCUAAGCAUUGGCCUAAGCUCGAGUGCAGUUUUAAAAACCGGCUUGAUUAUUUUCACUGUAAUGGAAGGUUAAAUGAUUGUCUGAGAAAACUUCAUUUAUUUGAUCCAAAAGAAAGAGUGGUUCAUGUUAAAGAGUUCAAACUUAUCAGCCUCACUACCCUAACCUACAAUUAUGGACUCAAUUAUAGGCCCAUUCCAAAGUGCAUUCACUGAAGGAAGGCAGAUGCUAGAUCCGGUUUUAAUUGCUAAUGAGGUAGUUGAAGAUUAUCGGGCUAAAAGGAAAAAGGGAUGAAUUCUGAAACUUGACCUUGAAAAAACCUUUGAUAGAGUGGAUUGGGGAUUGCUUGAAAAGGUAUUGUAUUGCAAAAAGUUCAACUCCAAACAGUCAGCUUGUAUGUUGGGAUGUUUGAAAAAUCCCCAUUUUGCCGUAUCACCUUUUUUAUUUCUUCCUGUCAGCGAGAUUCUAGGAGCUAUCAUCAAUAAGUUGUAAGUUAAUGGGCAUUAUGAACGCUUCAUGGUGGGAAAGGAGAAGAUCCACAUCCCCAUCCUCCAAUACGCCGAUGAUAUACUCUUGUUUUGUUAGUAUGACGGGGAUUAUGCUUCUCAAGCUGAAGGAGGCCAUCAUAUUGUUUAAAUGGUGUUCAGAGCAAAAAAUUUAAUUGGGAUAAAUCAGCUCUUAGUGGAGUUAAUGUGGUUGACAAAGAUCUAUCUCAAAUGGCAGAGAAAUUAGAGUGUAAGGUGAUAAAGCUUCCUUUUCUGUACUUAGGACUUACCUUGGGAUGUUAUCCAAGGAAAAAGCUAUUCUGGCAACCAAUAAUUGAUCGGGUUCAUAAAAAACUGGAUAGAUGGAAAAGGUCUAAUAUUUCAAGAAAGCAAACUCUACGUAAAUCAAUUUCGGCCAGCCGUCCCACCUAUUACUUGUCUCUUUGCCAUUCUGACAAUGUAGCUUCUUCCUUGGAAAAAUUAUUGAGAAAUUUCUUCUAGGAAGGGCAUUCUGGAUGUAAAAUAAAUCAUUUGGUGAAUUGGAAAAAGGUUACACCUUCUCAGCUUGUGGGGGUCUUGGCUUAGGAGGCAGCAAAGUUCAAAACAACGGCUCUACUUGCUAAAUGGGGCUGGAGAUUCUCGGUGGAAGAUACCUCUUUAUGCAGACAAGUUAUAAGUACUCAUAGUAAAGAGGCCUUUGAUUGGCACACAGUGGGUAAAUUCAGUAAUAGUUUGAAAAGUCCUUGGGUCAGCAUUUCAAGAGCUUGGAGGAGGGUGGAAGCUAUUAAUAUAAUUAGAUUAUUCUUAGGAGAUAUAAUUCUAGAGAUAUUAUUUGAUAUUAUUUGUAUUUCUCUAUGGUUAUAUAUAGGCUUGUAUCUCUACUAAAUAAUAAAUGAAUAUAUAGAUUUAUUCCAUAAAAUCAACAUGGUAUCAGAGCUCUAGGGUUUUCGCCUUAUUGAAUUCUAGCCUCCACAUCCCGUUUGAUCUCUGCCUCCGUUGAUCAUUCAUCAACGGAGGCAGAAUCAUCUCUCAUUAGCCAUCAACGGAGGCAGAAUCAUCUCUCAUUAGCCAUCAACGGAGGCAGAAUCAUCUCCCAUUAGCCGAAGCCGCCCCUUAGAUCUGCAAAUCCGCCGUUGUCGUUGCACCUUCCCUUUGCCACUCAUUGCUAUUCAAAUCUGCCACCAUCCAAACCCCAGAAACCCCAUUCGUUUUUCACUAGCGUCCGCGGCGGCCAUCUCCUUCAUAGUUCUUCGUCCGACCUCUUGUUUUUCCGUUAGCCAAGCAGCCAAUUGAACCUCUGUCAGUUGAAGCCGAACGCCCAGCCGAAGAGUUUUGGUUUUGUCCGUGGUCCAAGAAGCUCCGCUCGCCGCUGCGUUUCGUUGUCGUUGCUCCAUCCUAUGUUGUCCCGACAAAACCCAUGAAACCCCAUGUCCUCAGAUCCUCGCGUCCGCCCCCAAUAUGUUCCAGACCUGUCUGAUUUCGUUCAGACCCAUUCUUCAUGUCUGCCUUUGAAGUUUAGAUCGAAGCCCAGAUCCAACGACGCCUCCAUUAUGUUUUUGUUCAGAUCCGCUGCUCCAUUCAGUUCAGUUUCCGUUCUGUUCGCCCCAGAUUUCUCGUUUAAUCUGAUUCUGACUUGCUUUAGUUUAGUUGGUUCGGUUCCAUUCCGAUCCGACAAAACACAUCUGUCCAAUCCCGACCCUGUUUUCGUCCAGCUUUGAUUCUACUUUGCUUCAGUUUUGCUCUUUCAUUUUGCCCCUCGAAGUUCUUGUUUCGUUCUUCCUAGGUUAUGUUAUAGAUCUCUAUACGAGGAUCUAUGUUUCUAUCCCAGAAGUUCUUCGUUUCGCUCUUCGUGGGUUUGUUUUAGCCUAGAAGUUCUUUGUGUGUUUGUUCUUCGGGUUUUUUAUUCUAUUCUAGAUAUAUUGUUUCUUUUCUUAGUUCUUAGCAAACUCAAGGUUGAAAGAUUUCAACCUUGAGUUUGAGGGAGGGUAUUAAUAUAAUUAGAUUAUUCUUAGGAGAUAUAAUUCUAGAGAUAUUAUUUGAUAUUAUUUGUAUUUCUCUAUGGUUAUAUAUAGGCUUGUAUCUCUACUAAAUAAUAAAUGAAUAUAUAGAUUUAUUCCAUAAAAUCAACAGAAGCUUUGGCUUUGUUUAAGUUGGGUAACAGAAGAAGAAUUUCCUUUACAACAGACUUCUGGAUCGGUGACAUACCCCUCAGUCUUUAAUUCCCUACGCUGUUUCGAAUUCCAUUGCUGCCUAGUGGUUCAGUUGCUGCUCAUUGGGACAAUUCCAUUAUGUCUUGGUCAAUUGUGUUCGAAGACUGUUGAAAGAUGAAAUUCCAAGUCUCCAAUCUCUGUUAUACCUUCUCUCCUCUAAAAAGGUGACAGAUUUAAAUGUUAGAAAAUAAUGGUGAAUUGAUACGUCAGGUAGAUUUUUAGUUAAGUUCCUUUUGAUUCAUCUUUCUCCAUCACCCCCAAUGGACAAAGGAAUUGUCAAAUCUCUCUAGAAAUCCAGCAGCCCAAGGAGAGUCAAUAUUGAUCUGGAUUAUGGCUUUUGGCCUUCUAAAUUGUUCCUUGAUUAUGCAAAGAAAGAUCCCCAGUAAGUGUCUUUUCCCCUUGGUGAGCUCGCUCUAUAUGAAGUACAGUGAGGACUGACUGUAUCUCUUUAUUAUCUACCCUUAUUCAACCAAUUGUUGGGGGAGUAUGCUCUCCCUUUUCUAUGUGGCUUGGGCUUUCCAUGGAUCAUUAAACUCAAAUGACUUUUAACCGCUUAGGGGUCCGGUACUGUCAAAGUGACGGAGAAUACUUUGGGAGAAUAUUUCGAAAGCAAUGCUUGCAGAAAUUUGGUUUGAAAGUAAUCAUCGAAUAUUUCACGACAAGGCAAGGGGCUGGACUGAAACUGUAGACACUGCAAAAAGAAAUGUUGCAACUUGGUGUUCUUUGAACAAGGAAUUUUUUGAGUGUUCCAUUCAAGAUUCAUCUCUCAACCCAUUUAAUGUGUUGAUCUCUCUGCAUUCUUCAGAAGCUCAAGAUACGCAAGCUUGUUGAUUUAUAGUGGAAGGCCUCCUGUUUCUAUUUCUUUUGUUUUCUAUAGGAUGGCUUGUUCUUGUUCUUUACUUUCUGAUUUGUUGUUUGCCUUUCUUCGUUGUUGUUUCGGUUUAGUUGGAGUUUCUAUGUUUUUGGAUGUACUAUUGGAUAUGAUGAUGGCCAUUAAGGGGGUGUCAACCUAAUUGAGAUGUCUGGGUGCACCUCCUGAUCCUUUUCUUUACAGUUCUCAUUAUAGAAUUCUCUUGUACCUUGAGUUCUAUUUUAACAAAGAAGCUUGUCUCCAUUUCAAAAAAAAAGCUAAAGAGGGUGUUUUUUUACUAGGAGUUUCUCUCAGCACACCAAUGUGGAAGGCAGCACUAUAAUUUACUGGAUGACUCCCCAUUGACAAAAGAUAGUGUAAACAAGGAACAGUUAGGUCUAUCCCCAUCUAUCCCAUGACACUUAUUUUCCCGAAAUAGGUAUCUCCCCCAUCACUCACCACACAUGAAACAAACAAAGAGAAACAACGAAAACCAUCAAAGACAGCUUUCCCCGCACUGUUUACCUUCAAGAGUCCUGUUUCAAGACCAUUCACGAAACUGGAACAAUGCUUGGGAUGCCCAUAUUUGACAGAAAAAGUAUGGCUCGCAAGGAAUACAUCAUAAUUGCUUUGCCAACAAGGCCCAAUUUUAAACCCUUAAGUUGCCUAUAGCUAACCCAUCCAAGGUCCACAAGUUCAAUCACCUUCUAUCGCAAUACAAAAUGAAACCCCUUCCACUCACAAACCCCAACUUCUUUUUCUUUCUUUUAGGAAAAGAAAAGAGAUAUUUUCAUUCAAAUAAAGAAAAGAGGCUAAUGCUCAAAAAUACAAACUACCCCUUAGGGGAAAGAAAAGAAAAGGAACAAAAGAAAUACAACAAAAUUAUGAAGGAAACAAAAAAAUGUUUCAGUUAAAACAGAUAUCUUAGAAUAAUCUGCAAAGAGUUUGAAAAGAGAACAUCAUGCAGAGACUUUGAGGUGAGUCGAACCAAAGCAAACGCGCAAAGAAGAGACUUGUCAAUGGUCACCAAAAUACACAGAUUCCUUUCAAACCAAAUUUCAAACAGCAGAGUUUUCAUUCCAUUAGACCAAAAUAACUUAGAUUUUGGCACAAAGGGAGGAUGACGAUCAUGACCCUAUUAGACCACAACAUACAUUGCCCUAUCUCCCCAAUGUUGCCUCGUGUGCAAGUCUAGAUAGGAAACAACUAGUAACCAAUUCAUCCAUUGCCAUUUUUCCUGAGAUUUUGGAAAGAGAUCUUUCCAUCAUUUGGAUGGUAUACUGCCUUCCCAUGAGACAUUGAAAAGUGCUUUAUCCUACACUCUCAUUAGACACCCCUUCACCAAAAAACAAGAAGCUCAAUUGGAUGCAUGUUAUCCGUGCUUUCUUAUGAACCACUUGGAAAGAGAGGAACAGCUGAUUUCAAUGAUAGGGGAAGCCCUUCUGGUUAUUUUUUGUAACUCAUUAUCUUUCAUGGUAUGAGUUGGUGUAAAUGUUUCUUUUAAAUCAUACACUCUGUCUUCCCUUUUGUCCAAUUGGAGAUCACUUAUGUAACACCUUUGGCUCAGGCUGCAGCCCUUUUUGUAAAUCUCAUACAUCAAUAAAAUUGUUUAUUAUCCAAAAAAGGGAGGAAGACGAUCAACCAUCAAAUGAAGAAUGUUCUCCUUAAAUAAAUUAGAGAAUACCCAUUAAACAUUAAAGAUAGAAAAUUGUUCCACCAACAUUUACUUGAGUAAGAGCAAUCAAAGAAAAAAUGAUAUCAAGCAUCACUAUCUAACAUCAAAGCAGGAAAAUUGAUACUGAUAUACAGUGAAGAGGAAGCUUCUUUGUAGAACCUCAAACUAAAUCAAUAAACCAGUAAACAUCACCCAAAUAAAGAAAUUAACGUGUUUGGGAGAUUUAGACUUCCAUAAAGAUGAACGAACUCUCUUAGCAUAUGUGAAGAAAUAAAAUUCUCCGAAGUCUUGCUAGUGACACAGGAAUUAUAACCAAGGAUAAAAGCCACUUGAGCAAGGCAAAAUAGGAAUGAUCCUUCUUCCUUCAGAGAAAAGCACCUCCUCCAAGAAGCUAAAUUUUUUUUAAUCUUACCCACAAUGGCCUACCAAAAGGGCAAACUACGAGGAUUGUGACCAAAAGGUACAGUAAAAUGAAUCCUAGACUACACACUUGCACAAUGGCGUAAGAUUGAAGCUUUGGCAGUGUAUAAAGUAGGAAAUGGCAGUACAACAGCUUUCUUGUCUGAUCUGUGGCUGGAUAAAAUUUCUUUCCUAUGUUCCGGAAGGUUCUAUUACUAAUCAUUGGGAGUAAUGUUCAUCAAAUUUGGGUUGGUAGUCCAGCCCUCAAGAAACAGCCUUCUUUGAUUUGGAAUAAUGCAAUAAAAGCCUAUUGUCUGACAAUUAUGAUUUGAAAGGAACCAACAACUUUUCCACAAUAAAUCUUCCCAUUGGUUAGAUCGCUUAGAGCUUGCUCAUUUAAAUGCCUCGUCUUGGUGCACGCUAUGGCUAUCAAAGGUUUUUGAAGGCUACUCAAUUCAGGAGCCCAAUCUGAAUUGGCAGGCAUUCAUCCCUCCUCCAUGGACCAUAAUAGUAGCAGAAUUUAUGUAUUACUGUAUUAUUUUUAAGUUUUAAAGUCAUUUUGUACUUGUAUCACUUAUGGAUACUUUUCUCAAGGUCUUGGUCUUAUUGCUCAAGGAUUGUAUCUUUUGUUUUUACAUGUAUCUCUAUCAUAUGCUGGAAAGGCUGUAUGAUCUCAAUUUUGUUGGAUUGCCAACCUAGUUAAGAUGUCUGGUGCACUUACUAAUCCUAAAGUUCUUUUUCUCAUUGUAUAAAUCUCUUGUAAUAUGAGCUUUUGUCUCAUUUAUAAUCAAUAAAAAGAGACUUGUUUCCCUUUAAAAAAAAAUAAAUAAAAGACUACACACUUGCACAACAAACUUUUAGUUCACAACAUAUAUAAUAUUUAGGUAAAAUCAAACAGCAAAGUCUUACACUUUGAGCCUCAUGCCCAGAUCUUGCAAAAAGGUGCAGUAUGACUUCCUUAAAUAUGUCUCCUUCUUCAAGUCAAUACCAUCUCUUCUUGAUGGGGAAUUUUCUUCAAUUUCCUUUCUGGACAUAUACCAACGACCUGCUUCGUCUUGAUUUUCUUGGGAAUUCUUUGAGGACCCACUAUCAGAUAUUCUAUGAUGCGUAGACUCAAAUGGCAGAAGUCCAGACAUGUGUAUCUUUCAAUGAUCUAAAACAGUAGCAAGCAACUGUAUAGAAUAAUCCCCUUGAACUUAUGCAGCUAUUUCCUGCAGAUUAAAGGUAAAAAUUUAGGUACAACACAAGCCUAUGAAUUAACAUAAAUUUAUAUCCUGUUUUGAAAACUUUUUUUUUUUCUGUUUUCAGAAGAGUUCUAGAAAUUGUCAUGAAAAGUUUUUUUUUUAUGACUUACAUUAUCAUUCAUAUAUGAAUUUUUGUUCAAAGUUCCAUAUGUAAUGGAAUGAAUAUCUUCCUUCAUAAAAAAAAUAAUAAUACACUAAAAAACAAACAAACAAACGAAUUAGAAGAAAAAAGGUCCACAACUUGAUUGAGUUUUCCUAUUGCAUUCUUUUAGCCAAUUGGCUGAGAUACUUGACCAUAUCAUUUGGAAUUGUGAUUUAACACAAGCAAAUUGAGGUUGCUUUUUUGAGGAAUUUUACUUGAGCUUGACUGGACAUAGGGGUUGUUGAGAGAUGAUCAAGGAGCUGCUUCUCCACUAUCCUAUUUGUGAGGGAGAAAGCCUUUUGUAAGAGUUUGGGAUGUGCAUUAUUUUGUGCGUCAUUAAGGGGGAGAGCAAUAAUAGAGACAGGCCAUGAAAGUCUUGAGAGGUCUUGGAGUGACAUUGGGGCACUUAUUUGAUUCAACGAAACUGUAAGCUAUAUGGGCUAAGUUGUUUUGUGACUGCCUGUUAUGUCCUAUUUUGCUUGAUUUGAGCCCCUCUUUCUUUUGUGACAUCUUUUUUCGUACACCCUUGUGUUCUUUCAUUUUUUUUCUUUAAUUUAGUUACUCAUAACACGCACCAAAAAGAACAAGGACAUUCCAAUAAAGCAUGUAAAAUUAGGUAAAACACACACACACACACAUAUAUUGACGAAAGACCAAGGAGAAUCACGUCCAAUUGGGUACUACACUUCAACAGAAUUUCAUGCUCCAUGUAAACGACUGUGUUUCUUCUGCUCCCUAGAAAUAAAAGACAUUAUCUUCGAAUGAACUUGAAGACUAUAGGUCACGGAGGGGAAAGUUAGAGGCACAAAUUCAUUUAAAGUAAGCUUACCCAUUAACCUACCACUUCCAUCAUAAGCCCUUUCAAGCUCUAUACCCUUCCUCUUUUCACGUAUUUUCAAUAAUUCCUUACCAACUACGCAUAAAAAUCAAAAACCGGGGGAAAAAAAGAAAAGGGGAAAAAAGCAAUUGAGGAAAACAAGAAACAGGAAAGCACAAGCUUUCGAUACUUACCUUCGCGUUAUUCUCCCGUGCCACGGAGCUCAUUGACACCCCAAUUUCCUUAAUCCAACGAUAAGCACUCAAAAAAUCUGCAAAACCUAAGAGCUUCCCAUCCUGCCGAAUAGUAGAACGAUGCCAUUAGAGGGACAUGGAAGGGAAAUCAAGAACCCAAAAACCAACAUGAGAAGGCGACGAGAAGUUCAAAGGGAUUAGAAAAACUUACAGAUACAAUACCGUGAGUGUGAGAACCAGCGAGGUAGAGCUUGAAUCGGCGAGGGAGAGAGAUUCAGAGGAAGGAGCGUGAAAUUUGGGAUGCUGCAGUGUGGUUGUGUUGUGCCCUAGCGGAGGGUUGGACGGAAGCUGACAUGCGACCGUACAAAGCAAACUGAUUUAUGGAAAAGAAAUCGGAAAUGAACGGGAAUUUACACGGUUGUUUGGUUUAAGUGCUAAAGAUGUGUGAAAAUAUGAUUAGAGAUGUCCAAUACAACGAGUUGUGGCACCUAUCUCUAUGGGCGCAACAAUAACCCACUAUUCAAAUAACACACUAUUCAACUCACAUAUUGCAAGAGUUUGUUAUUUUAAAAUUUAAGUUGGGUUGGCUUUUUUUUAACAUGGGUUUGGGUCUCCCAUUUAGAUUUGAAAAAUUCGUUCAAUCUGAAUUAAUGAUAUUAUAUAUAUUUAUAUUAAAUUUUAUAGUAUAAUGUUUGAAUUUUUCUUUUUUUACUUUAGAAGUUCGAUUCAUAUUUCACUUUCGUUUAAGUAAUUCUAGAUGUUUUAAAAAAAAUUGUUGAGUCUUAUUUUUAUUAUUAUUAUUGAUAAAUGAAUUUUUAUCUAACUAAAAUUAAGGAGUUUUUAAAAAAUAUAACAAACCACCGAAAUAUUUACAUAAUAUAUAACAACUUCAAAAACAAAAAAAAGCUCACACCCUCGCAAUAAAAAAUACCAAAAAUGCCUCAAAUAAACACAUGAUCAAUCAGUCACACGUACACAUGUAGUUCUUCUUUUAAACGAUCAUGAUACGCAAUGUUGUAGAAAAAUGAUACAUGAUAUGCUCUUAUGUGCUUGCCUGUUUGCUUGUUGUGUUGCUUUGUGUCUUGUGAUGACUUGCUAAUGAUACACUCUUGAGAGUCGAGCAUGUGUGAGAUAAUGUAUGAUGAAAACAAGUACGAUUUUUUAUAUAUUUUAAAAUUUUCUCUUCCACCUCUUAUGCAUAACUAAUUUUUUCAUUUGCUAUUCUAGUUCUAGCAUGCUUAUAGCGUUAUCAGGUCUCAAUUUUGUUGUUACCUUAAAAAGCCUUACUAGCAUCGACUUAAUAAUGUGUGUGUGCAAGGAUUUAACCAAUUGAUCUUCUGUGUGACCUGCACCUAAGUAGAAGGUUAAAAUUUUGUUUAAGUGUAGGAAUAUGUGUCUUAAAUAAAAAGAUGUGAAAAAAUUUUAUGACUUAGGUGAUGAUAAGAGACUAGGCGAUUAAGGAUCUUUGCAAAAUGGUGUUAGGCGAGAAGCUAAGGAGCUAUGCGAGAAGAGGAGGAAGAAAAGCAAUUGAAGUUGGAAUAACCAAGUUAGGAGUGUUUUCUCCAAGAAAAAAAUUUAUGAUAAAAGCUUCCUUAAUAAAGUUAUUACUAAUUUGAAAUGACUAUUUCAAUUCAAAUAUUUUCAAAGAGGUUUAUUUGAAAGUUAUGGUAUGUUUCAGUAUGACUUAUGAGAUUUCAAUGUUUGUGAAAUGAUGUCCAAACCAUUAGUUACUUCCUAUCCAUGAGCUGACUAUUGCUUAAUUGAUCUUGUUUGUAAACCAUAAUGAAUGAGUUAGCUAGAUGGUGGAAGUUAACGAAUUCAUCUUAUCAUCUCCUUAUAUCUUAAUGAGAUUAAUUGAAUAUGUUCCGCGUGGGUUUAACUUAGCAUAAUUAGUUAAUUUGAUAUUUAGAACUAUUGGCUAAGCAUAAGCAUGAUUUUAUUUGAAUGAUCAUAUGAUUGCUCAACCAAAUUUCAGAAAAUACUUGUUAUUCCUAGCUAGUCCAUACUCAUCAUCAUUUUGAUACUAUUUUACUAGCUUUUAUUUAAUUACCGUUCAAAUUUAGCAUAGUUAAAAAAAAGAAGAAAAAAAACCCUUCCAUUACUUUCUUAUAAGAUGCUUAUUUGAGAAAUCAUCUUUGUGGCUUCAUAUGGACUUAACUAUGUACUUCUCUUUACUACUCAUUUGUAAAGCAAGACAACCUAUUUUGAUUGUGACUAAGACUUUACGAUGGAAAAAAAGAUCCAAUGGAGCAUCUAGAUUUGUACAGAUCAUGGAUGGAACUCCACGAAAUACAAGAUGUAAUAAAAGGCAGGGCAUUCUCGUUUACUUUGGUAGACCAACAAAUUAAUGGUUUAGAUAACUAAAAAGGAAGUUUAUUGAAUCAUUCAAGAAGUUGGCAAGAACUUUUGUAACACAAAUUUUAGGAGGAAAAGAUUAAAGGAAAUCAACUACACGCCACUUAGCGAUCAAACAAGGUUCAAAUGAGACGUUAAGAGAAUAUAUUGAUCAGUUCAAUAGCAAAGCUUUACAAGUAGACAGGUACACCAAUUUAGUAACUUUUGUGGCUAUAAUGAUUGAACACUAGAUAAGAAACUCCUCGAGUCACUAAGAAAGAGAGUAGAAAAAACUUAUAUAGAGCUAGUCACCCGGACCGAAAAAUACAUGAUUGUGGAAGAAUUAAUACGAUCUAGAGGAAGAGUAGACAAACCAAGGAAGAGAUUACCUCAACCUCGGACCUCGAUAAAAGGAAAAGGAAAAACAAAAAUGUUCAGCCAAAGAUUAUGAUUAAGGUGAGCACCUCUCGGUGUCAUUAAAGGCUAUAUUUGCUCACCUUUCGUGAUGCAAACGACUCAUGAGCGCUUUAAGGGUGACAACCUCUCGAUGCCAAAUACCCACACUUAUUCUCCUUUUAGGAUAUAAAAUAGUUGAAGUUAUCUCACCUAGGUGGAGUUUAUCUCCAAACUCCUCCUUGAGCGCUUUAGCCAUAUCAUUGUUGCUUGCUCUCUCGAGUAGUUGGCGACAAACAUUGAUCAAACGAUGAAUAUAGCUCAACUAACAAAAUAAUAAUUAUAAGCUAAGCUUUUUAUCAAGAAUCUAUCAUAGAUCAUAAACUACAAAUAACACAUUGAUAGGUGAACAAUAAAGAUAUGAUGGAUUGAAAAAUGUAUAAAUAUGUAGUGUAUUAAAGAAUAUAUACCUUAGGCCACUUUACAAUAUGAACACGUACAUUACAAAGAAAUACAAAAAUGGAAAGAAUAGAAAUGAAUAAUACAAGUUAGGGGGAAAUGGAAGAUGAGAUCUUCUUCACUUAGAGCUCAUGCUUCCACUCAAUGACUAAUCGAAGAAGAGAAAGAAGGACUUUACAGAUGGUGGAAAGGCUACUCCUUUCCAUCAAUUUUUAGGGUUUUGCCUAUUCAGGCAUACGAUCAAUCCGGUCAGACAUCUAUCUUCUUUUAAAGUCGCCCCCUUGCUUGAUAGGAAUGAAGUCCUUUUUAUAGGAAGAUUCGGGCUGGAAACUUCUAUUCUUCUUGAACAUAUCAGCAUCGAAAGUUGUCUGUGUCAAGUCACAUCUAUUCCAUAUCUACCACUUUUGAUUUCUAGCGAAUCUCUUCAGGCAUGCUAUAAGGUCUUCUUGCGUAGGUUCAUGUGAGUUCCUCUGCGAUUCGCUAGUCUUCUUCUUUUCUUCAAAUUCUGCGUUAAGACACUAAAAACAAAGUGAAACGGCAUAAAUGUUUAUGUAAAAUGUAUUUCUGAAUAACGCAUUUUGAUACAUUUAAUAUGCAUUUUGGUCUCAUUAUUCUAUAUGAAAAGCUACAAUAACUUGUAUUUCUACAAGUUAUCGAAAACCUAAUUCAUAAUGAAUUUCUGGGAGAAUACGUUUGAAGUUCAACUAGUCCAAAAGCGAGACACACCUCGACCAUGGAGAAGUAAGCCAAGAGCCAAGGGGUUUUCAGGUUCACACACUAUAGGUCAAGAAUAGUAGGACCAUCUUAGAAUUUACGGAAGAAAAAACCUAUUAGUUCUAUAUUUGACUUACUUUAUAGCUUAACACUCCUUGAUAUAUCAUCACUUAUUCAUUAAAUCUCCAACUUUAUAGGAAAUUAUGAUGUACACAUGCUAACAAGUCCAAUGCAAUGAAAAUUGCAUAAUUCGAAGCUAGAAUGCGAGCAAAAACGAGCCAAAACAUGAAAGAGUAACAAUUUCAUAAUUUCUCAAAAGCUUGGCCGCCCCCUAGCUUCGGGAAGCCUAAAGGCAGUAGCUGCCAAAUUGGAUUGCGACACUACGAAGUUUGACGGAAAUCCUGCAUGCGCACAACUCCCCCUUGCUCAGCGACCUGAUGGCUUAUUUAAGAACUUGUAUUUUCAUAAUUAGUACUUCAAUUUUUUGUUCUACACAUUCUUAAAGCCAAAUUCCUCUUGUAAAGUUCUCUCUACCAAGUAAAUAAAAUCUCUCAAUAUUUCUUUAAGAAAUGGCAACCUUUAUUGUGAAUUUCUUUGGAGCUAAUUUGGAAAACAUGAGCAACUAAAAUACUUUCUUGAGAAUGAAUGUUCUAGUUAAAUUUUCUUGAGAAUGUAUCUUUUGCCUUUUUUAUUUGGUCUUUAGUUGAAUUUUCUUUCUUAUUUUUGGCAAAUAUUGAUUUUUUGAUUGGUUUGAUCACCCGAGAUUUCUUGAAUUUAACUUUAAUUUUUAGAGGUGAUAAGAAAUUUUUUUGAAGCAUGAUUGAUUCUGAAUUGUUGUAUGAGUCUUUAGCAUGGCUUCCUAUCGAUUUUUCUUCAAUUUUAAAUUGGAAUUUUAACCCAUUAAUCAUUCUUCAGAUAGAGACAUUCCUUGUUCUUAAAAGUCUCAACAUAGAAGCCUAGGAUCUUAAUGCAAUUUUAAAGAUUUUGUGGAAACCGCUAAGAUAAAGCAUUUUCUUUCAAAUUAGUAUGGAUUUUGAAUUAUUUAUUCAUUGAUUGCUUGAGGACAAUUAGUUUCUUGGACUAAUGGGUAAAAUUGAAUUGCAAUGUUUUCUUUAUUCAAUGAUAAAAAAAAAGCUAGAAGACUCAAUUUCCAUCUUUAUCGAUUGAUUGAGAGAACUUACCUUUCUUUUGUUGUGCUAAUCACUUUCUUGAAAAAAAUUCCAAAACACUUUAUUGCUUUCUUUUAGAUUCUUGCUUGUUACCAUCUAAACCUCCCAUGUUACAUAACUCUUUGAUUCUAGAAAUCUUGUAUCUUGAGUUAAUAAUUCUUUUAAGGAAAUCUCUUGGGUUCGAUCUCUCUCUUACUCUAUGCUACAUUACUUUUGCAUUAAUAUCAAAGUCCACUUUCUCUAGUGGACUUUUUGUUUUCAUCAAAUGACGACACCUAGCCUACUAGAGUUAAUGAGAUUAUCGAACAAAAUGUUUGAUUUUUCCACUAACUUUGGUCAAAUGACAAAAUGGUCAUUUGGUCAAAAGUCAAACUUGACUUUUCAAAUCAAAAGUCUAACAUUUUGACUUUUUUUAUAAUUUCUCCUGUCUUGACUAAUUUUGACCUCCCGAGCAUGAAUCUGCAUUCAUUUUCUCAAGAUUCAAAUUACAUUUGAAUAUAUUGUUGAUCAAAGUUUGACUUUUCAAAGUCAAAAGUCAAUUUUUGAAUUUUUACAACUUUGACAAUUUCCAUCAAUUUUGAACUUUUGAGUAUGAAUCCGUAUUCAUAUAUUUAAUAUGUAAAUCCCAUUUAAACAUAAAGCUCAAUCUCUAAUUUGAUAACAGGUGACUAUAUCACAUAUAUUUAUCAGUUUCUCUCUCUUCAACUAAAUCGAACAAUUCAACUCAUUCCAUCAUAUAUUUGUCUUAAGAGUGUUUUUAUGGGUUCUUUGAUCUGGGUCUAAUCACCAUCAACCUUAGUGAUUUCUUUUUCCAACUUUUCCUUUUAUGCUAAAUCUUAAACUCAAUCCAAAUCAUCUCUUUGAGUUUCUUAAAAGAUUUGGAAAUUCUUGGAAUUUCAAGGUUUACAAUUUGAGUGUUUGAUGAUUUAACAACCGUUUGUGAAACACAUUCAAUAAUAUAUUAUAAAUUAUAAAAUUAGUUGUAGAUCCACUAAAUUUGAAUAUAAACUAAAACUAUUAUUGAGCCCCAAUGUAGCUUCCAAAAUAAAAGGUAUAAAUAAUUUGUUUUUUUUUUAAAAAUUAUUAUACUAAAAAAAACGAUCAAACUAAUCCCUCUUGAACGAUUUUGAUUUACACAUACCCAAGAAAUUGCAGAAAUCAGUGGGUUGUGCUGAACUUGCAAAAGUGAAACAUAUAUUAUUUUAAUAUCAAGUACGUUGUAACUGUAGAUAUAGAUUAUUUCUUUAUAUUAAGAACAUUGGCACUGGACGUAUUAUCACUUAACGAGGCUCAAUUUGAAACAGCUUCACUCAAUUCUAUUAAGAACAUUCGUAACCAAAGAAGCCACUUCAUUGGCACUGGACUUCUCAAACCACAGAUUUCUUCCUAAAUUACAAACGUGAAAGAGAAAAUAUACAACUUAAAAUUUACAAUACAAUGACAAGUGAAACAUAAAACAUGUCAUCAUUUAGAAAAGAAUCUAGACGUGUUGCACAAGUUAACAAGGGAGCUUAAUAAAUAUGUCUCUUGGUUAUUCUUGAGCUCCCACAUAUCAAAAUUUGAUUUACAUUUCCACCCUCCAAGGCUUGGACUCGAGUUUUCAAAAUUAGUCCAUCACUAGCCAACCAGGUUUGAUCAGGAUAUCCUGUUUGAAGUUUCGACCAGUGACCGAUGUCGAUUCUCCUUGACGACGGUAGCACUGCAUAAGAAAUGAAAUGUAAAACAAUGAAGUCUUCUAACACCAACCAAUAAUAUAGCAGGUUCCUAGUUUAAGAUUGGAGGGAUACACUCGGCAGAAAGUACUUCAUUGUUUGGGAAAGCUUUAUAUAGAACACAAGGACACAGUUCGUUGUACAACUCACUGUUCAAGUAAGGUUGUGUUUGAGAAAGCCUACAAAACUAAAAAUCUUACUUUAGGCCCGUUUAAUGCCAUUUUGUUUAUUAUUUUUGAAAAUCAAAGUUAAUAGGCACUGCUGCUACCGAUGAGUCUUUGUUUUGUUAUACAUAUGGAGAUGGUAUACAAUUCCAAGCAAGUUUUGAAAACUUGAAAAAGUAGUUUUUUUAGACUCUGUGGGAACAUUUAGGUAUUUAAAAUUGUGCUAGUUUUCUCAAUUAAGAAUUUCACGAUAAAAAAAUAAAAAAAAUCUAAGGAGACUCACAUCCUACAUAAAGAUAGAUGGAUUACUUCACUCAUUACCAAUUGGUUUUGAGAGAGAACUUCAUACUAUCAAAUACGGUAUCAGAGCCCAUAAAACCCAAACGAGUAUUCAGUACCGUGUUAAAAAGAAAUUGAGAUCUGGUCAAGAUUGGUGAGCCUCAAAGAGAUACCCAUCUUGUAGGAGCAAUUGAGAAUUCCAUAGUAGAAAACCAAGAUGACUCACAAUCUCUAUAAGAUAGAUGAGUUACUUCGCUCAUUGUCUGGUUUAUAUCCCAAGUAAACAUUUAAAUUCUAUUUUAAAUUUUGAAAACAAAGAAAUUUUUAAAAACUAUUUUUUCUGGUUUUCAGAAUUCGAUCCAAAUUCUUUAAAAAACGCUCCUAAAGAUGUAAAGUGUAAACAAAACAGUGAAACUAAGUCAUCAUAAAUUGAGCCUUAAGAACUUGUUUUUAUUUUUUGAAAAUUGACUAAUAAAAAGCUUUCAUUAGUAAAGAUGAAAACUACUAUUAAAAAAGUUGUGAAAAUAGAGCCUUAAUAAUUCAAUUAGUUAGAAAAAUAUGCUCAUUAAUCCUCUCCCAUCCCCAAACCAUCAGGGGAAGCAUGAAACGAAGUCAUUUAGAAUGGACCCAAUUGAUGAAUUUCAUGCAACGCAAAACGGUUCAACCCAUUAACUACUGCAUCCGAAACUUGAUAGAGGACUAUGCUAAACAUAACAAUCUUUUACUUGGUGACUAAAACAUGAAAUAGACUCGGUGUAAUUUUAUAUUUACGGGAAUGUAGAUAUAAACUUUUAAGUUCUAAUGGGUGCAGAAGAGGCAUGUUACCAACCUUGUAACAGACAACUGUAUCAUCAGGGUACAUUGCAAACAAUUUAGUUCCAAGGCGUGCGUGACAAGAAUCACAGAGGCUCUCAUCAUUGAUCUGAGCAUGUCUUGAUCUUUCCUCCAAUCUGGCCAACCUCGCCUCAAGGUCUAGAGCACGGGAGGUAUUAUGUACAAUCUGUAAAGUGUGAGAAGUAAUUAAACCUUCUGCAGUUGACCCCCUCAGUUUAAUCAAUUAACAGAUACCACCCCCUGAUUUUGAAAAGAAUGAAGAAGACAAAAUUUCUUAAUCUAUAUCUUCAUUCUUCAGUUUUUGGAAGGAUUAAUUUAGAUAGUCCUUCAUGGCUUCAGUGGGGACUACAUCAAACCAAUUAUUCGAUAGAUUUGAUUUCGGUUCACAAUUAUAGGUUUCUGGGUGCCUAGGUAUUAUAACAUCUGCCUGUAUAAUUCAGAACAUGAGGAAGAAGUAAUUGGGGUUUGAGGAUGGUUCAUAGCAGGAAGAGAAGAGUGGACAACUGCUGCUUCAGCCUCCUCUUCAGUGCCUUAAUGGCGCUAAGACCCAGAUGACACCACUAAAAACAAUAAUUUCACCAGUAAUAUUUCUCAGUAGUUCACAAAAUUCUCAAAAUCUAUUUAACCGAUGCAUUAGUUGUAGAAACUAUCACCAGGACAAAUAUUCUUGUUUUCUUUGUCCUUGAGACAAAAUAAAAGUAGCCAAAGCAAUUGGCACCAUGAUUUUCAAAAAGUAAUUUGUCAUAGACGAAAAAAGAACCAGUUAUUAAUGCAGAAAAUGACUAUGAUGGAAACCAGGAACGUUAUUGAAUAGUAAGUAUUAUUGAUAUUAGAUUCAAUGACGAAUCUAGGUUACAAUCUCUAAUCCGAUCUCAAAGAUGUAAGAACUCCCUUCUGCUAACCCAUCUCUCAAGGUAGAACAGAAACUCUUUGUUAGGAUACUAACAAUAAUUUAGACCGAAAGGACUGUAUAAAUGGCUUAAACAGAGGCGGUACUCUGGUUUACUUUAUUUAUAUAUAAAGCCAAAUGAUCCAGAUUCACAAGAUGAAAAGAAAUAACAAGAAACAACAAGGAAAAAUGCAGAAAAGAUCAUACCAGCCUCUUGGUUUUAAGAGACCCUGGUGGCUGCUGUAGCCCUACCUCCUAAAAGAUAAAAAUACCCUAGCUACUCCAACCUAAUAAUCCUAUUUAUAGACUCACAUAUUCCUCAGCCCAGUGGGCCCUACCACUCAGAACGUCCUUCCAAUCAUUUCUCCAUAAUAAUUCCCUGUGCAGUUACUUUUCUACCCUUCCUCCUAUAAGUAUGGAUAAUUGGGGGUCUUACACUCUUCUCUAACCAAAAGCUUAACUAACUUUCCUGCCCUCUCCUUUCCACUAUUAAUACUUCCUAACUACUUUACUCUCACGUAAACCCUCUCCCUCAUUCACACGUGUCAAUUCUUUUUCCUUCUCCUACUAUAUUGGUGUAUGAUAGGGGGUCUAUCAGAAUACUUGCAGUUCGAAACAAGGGGAAGGUUCAUUAAAAGAGAUCAGAUUUUAAGAAAGAGGGUGGUAGAAGAUUAAGUAGGUGAGAGAAAGGAGAAGAAAGAGAGUGAGAGAACCUGUCCUUGACAUUUAUGAUGAAAUCGAGCUCUCAACAGUUUCAAUAUUGUUUCCGACGCAAUAUGAAGCGGCAUAUUUGGGGACAAAGUCUGCAUUUGAAACCAAAUAUUAAAGUAUAAAAAAGUAUAAUCUUUUUUUGAAAGGAAACUGAGACUUUUCAUUAAGUUAUAGAGACUAACGCUCAAAGAUUCAUGAAAUUCAAAGCAAAAAAAAUAAAACAAAUCUAAAGAGAUAAAAUAAAAGCUCCAAAAACAUAGCAAAAACAAAAUAACAGAGAAAAACAUACAACCAGGAAGUAGAAAAAAAACAGCGAACUUAUUAAGUCAAAAUAAGAAAUCCAGCUAUGGUAGAUGUCAUGAUUGAAAACCCCUCAAAGUAUUUGGAUAUAGAAGCUAGAACACCAGGAGAAAGCCUUUAAUCGAGCCACAUCAAAGAGAGCAUAAGAACUUUGUAUAGAAUUGUGGAAAAGGCACUUAAAUCUUUCCAUCCAAAUUCCCUAGUUUCAUUUUGUUGGAUGUGAUGAGGGUGCUAAUGAGAUGUUAACCUAGUUGAGAUGUCCGAGUGCACCUAUUGAUUCUCAAUCUCUUCAUUUGUGUGAUCUUUGUACAUCAAUCAUGUAUUAUGAGUCUUGUUUUAUUAAUAAAAUUUGAGACCCGUCUCCUUUUUUUUUUUAAAAAAAAAUCUUUCCAUCCAAAUUUCGGAAAGGAAGGCCUUGAUCAGCAGAAAAAUGCAGCAAACUAACACUUAAAACACUUGCAAUCUCUUGACAACAACUCCACCUCUGUGUGAGACAUCUUGUAGUUGCUUCCUAAAAUUGGAUAAAAAUAUUUUAAGUCGAUAUACCUUUGGAAUAUUCUGUUGGGCAUCACCUCUAACCAUGUAGACUUAUUCAAAUUUAAUCUAUUAACAAACUUUCAGAACCAGAAAUGUGGCUUUAUGAAAUAAUCACAGCCAUGGGUGGUUUGCAAAAGUAUACUUCAAACAGACUUAACUUCAAGCAUUUAUCACCAGCCCCACAUAGCUAUUAAAACCAGACUUUGAUGUGGAUCACCAAUUCCAAGCCUCCAUUCUAAAAGACUUUUAAAGACCGACUUCCAUUUUGCCAAUUAGAUGAUUUGACUCCACUAAGGCCUUCCAAAAGAAGAAAAUGAAGAAUCUUUCAAAAGUCUAGAGCACCUUAUCUCAAAUCUAAAAUAUAAUUAUUUAAAAGCAAUCAGAAGCAGAAUAGCAAGGAAAUCUAGCAUAGAAGAGAACACUCCUAAAGUGGCUAUUUAUCAUUCUAUGUUAAAAUGGUUACCAAAGAGGCUGUGGCUCCCUACUGCAUCUGUAAAGUGGCUAUUAUAGCCUAUAAGGAAAUAUGACUAGUGCUUUUUAAAGCUUGGGCACAAUAAAGAGCAAUAGUGUUCUAGGGCUUAAGUGCAAGGCACCAAAAAAAAAAUGUGACUUUUUUUUGUGAGGUGCAUUACGUAUAUAAGUAGUACAUUAAGAAAAGCAUAGUUGAAGUGGAAAUAUGAAAAAGACCCUUAAACACAAGAAAUUUUGCAUUUAGGCUUAGUAUAUUUGAAUUUUUAGUUAUUAAUAAAGAAGGAAAAACCUAGCUGAUAUAUUGAUAGCUGGUUCGAAUUCAUGAGAUUUUCAUAUUUGUCGUAAUCUAACAUAAAGUAGUUGAAGUGGGAAUACCAAAAAGACCCUUAAAUACAAGAAAUUUUGUAUUUAGGCUUUAGUAAAUUUGAUUUUUUAGUUAAUAAUAAAGAAGAAAAAACCUAUAUGACAUAUGGAUAGCUGGUUUGAGCUCAUGGGAUUUGCACAUCGGAUUUGCACAUCUGUCGUAAUCUUUAGUGACUUAGAAAUUUUGAAUGGGUAUCUUAUCACUUAACAUCUGUUGAACAUAGGCCUACAAUUGAUGCCUGGAUCUGGCCAUUGGACCCAUCAUCAUGUUUUACCGUUAAAUUUCUAAUGAUUGAUUUGGUUGGAUCUGUUGAUCCCCUGUAGGAGGAUCUACUCUACUAUUUAGAAGAACAAUUAUUCAAAUAUUAGAAUUUUCUUAUGGAAACUCAGUCUUUGAGACAUAAAAGCAGCAGAUCAAUUACAACGACAUAUGCCUUAUAUGCAGCUUUCCUCUUCCUAAUCCUGGUGCUUCAUCGGCUGCCAAAGCUCUGAAUCGCCUUUUACUCACGGUAGUUUAAAUCUUUGGUGGUACCGAGCGAAAUAUUUUGUUGGCUAUUAUCCUGAGGUUCUUUUGGACUCUUUGGGGUGAACAGAAUGUUUGGCUCUUCAGGGACACCUCUACUCUUGAUAAAUUUUUGGAUUCGGUUCUUACUCGUGUUUUUUUUAUUAAAAGCGACCAAACAAAAUAGAUACCGAGUAACAUGGAAAUUUGAGUACCGGGAGAAAAAUCACAAUCUGACUUUCUUAUGAACAAAAGAUACAAAGAGGAAAAAUCAAUAAACAACAAGCUUAUGAUAAAAAAGAAAAGAAAAUUAAGGUAAAUCUUUCCUUGGGCCAAGUGCACUAAUUCUAACACUCCCCCUCAAGUUGGGACAUAGAUAUCGAUCAGCCCAACUUGCUAACACAUGAAUCAAAACUCUGUCUGAGAAGUCCCUUGGUGAGAAAAUCAACCUGUUGGCUCAAGGGGAUGUAAGGAACGCAUAUUCAGUCUUUCUUCAAUAAAGUAUCGAUCAAUCUCCACGUGUUUAGUUCUAUAAUGUUGAACUGGAUUGUUGGCAAUGCUAAUAGCUGCUUUAUUAUCACAGAAUAAUUUGAUUGACAUCUCAUAAUCCUAGGUUAGAUAAAACCUUUUGAAGCCACAUUUCCUCACAUAUCCCCAAACUCAUAGCCCUGUACUUAGCUUUAGCGCUGCUUCUGGCCACAACCCCUUGCUUCAUACUCCUCCAAGUUACGUGAUUACUCUACACAAAGGUACAACAACCAAAGGUGGAUUUCUUGUCAACAAUGGACCGUGCCCAAUCAAAAUCAGUAUAGGCAGCUCUCAUGUUGAUUUUCCUAAACAUCGACCCUUUUACUAGGACUUUUCUUAAGUACCUCAAAAUUCUAUUAACUGCCUCCAUGUGUUCCUCACAGAGAAACAUCAUGAACUGGCUAAUGACACUCACAACAUAAGAGAUAUCUGGUCUAGUAUGUAACAAUUAAAUUAAAUUUCCCACAAGACGCUGAUAUUUUUCUCUCAAUUGGAACUUUAUCACUUGAAUUUUCCAGUUUAUAGUUGAAUUUAAGAGUAUUAGCAUGACGACAUCCUAGCAUACUUGUUUCGAUCAACAAAUCAAUGGUAUAAUUCCUUUGAGAUACAAAGAUACCUUCUUUUGAUCUUAAUACCUCCAUCCCAAGAAAUACUUCAAAUUCCCUAAAUCUUUAAUUUCAAACUCAUCGCCCAUCUUCUUUUUCAGUUGGAUGAUCUCAGCGGUGUCAUUCCCAAAUAAAACAAUGUCAUCAACAUAAACAAUCAACACAGUGAGUUACCAACCUUGAAGACUUUCAUAAACAAAGUCUGGUUAGAGUGCCUUGACUGUACCCUCGGGACUUAACAAAGGUAGUAAACCUAUCAAACCAUACUCUCAUGACUGUUUUAGCCCAUACAAGGAUUUCUGAAGUUUGCAAACCCGAUGAUCAAACUGGGCUUCAAAACCCUGGAGGAGGGUUCAUAUAGAUUUCCUCUACCAAGUCUCCGUUUAAGAACACAUUCUUAACAUCUAGCUGAUAUAUGGGUUAGUCUUUAUUUACAGCAACAGAUAACAAGACUAGCAGUAUUAAAGUUUGCAAUUGGGGAAAAAGUUUUAGAGUAAUCAACACCAUAGGUCUGCGUAAACCCUUUUGCAACUAACUUGGCCAUGUGUCUAUCAAGAGUUUCAUUUGCCUUGGUUACUUUAACAUCUGCUGGUUGUUCUCCUCGAUUUGAAUCCCCAACUGCUCAAUAUUCUUUGUUAUGGAUUCCAGAGUUUAUGUGAUUGCCGUUUUCCUUCGAUCUCCCAGGAAAUGAGUGCUCUGAUACCAAUUUGAUAGAACACCAAUAUAGUGUCUAUGUUUAUUGAUAUCUUCAACAGAAAUUACAAUAUAAAAGAACAAGUAAAAGGAAACUCAAGAACACUUAAAGGAACCCUAAUCCUCUGCUCUUCCUUUCUUUCAAGGAAUAUUGCAGUCCAUUAUCUUCACCAAAAUCUUCAUGCCUUUCUUCCCUUCCCAACUUUCUAUUUAUAACCAUCUAACUGCCAACAAAUAUAAUUACCUUUAUACACUUGCCCUAUACUAAUCUAGGUAUCUAACAUUCCACCCAAAAUUUCAAACACGAAAGAAAACAUGAUUGAAACUCUAAUCAUUGAAGUGAAAAUUGUUGACAACAGAGCAACCGAAUUACCUACUCUGGACGAUGAAGAUGAAGUCGACAGUGUUUUAGAGGAAAACAAACCAAUCAAAAAUGAUGUUUUAGUACACAAAAAUGAAGAACCAAUUCUUUAAAAGGAUGAAGAUGAAUUUUGGGCUACACUGAUCCUGUAUAGAUCACAAUUUAUGUAUAAAUCGCAAUUUAUGCAAGAAUCAACGAAGAAAAAAGAAGUGGCAAUACAAAGAUAGAUAUUAUUGAUGUUGGAUGCUCCAAGAUGUCUCCAUUCAAUCGACUUACUUUUUUACAUUUACCUUCAUUUUCGUUUUAAAACCCGAGGAUGAUUUUUUUUUUGGAAGGAUAGAAAUGAUGUAGUAGGAAUAGGGUAUUAUGGUAAAAUCCUUAAUUUAUUAUGAUCAAGAUGAGUUCCUUUGGUUUAUUAGGAUUAUAAUUAGUUUCUUUUAUUAUUUUGGAUUAGGAUUAAAUUUCUUUUAUUAAUUAGGAUUAGGAUUUGGAUUAGUUUACUUUUGUUAAGUUUCUCUUAUUAAUUAGGAUUAGUUUACUUUUGCUAUAAAUAGAGUAGUUGUCUUCUUAUAUUCACAACUUCAAAAACAUUAAUAAAAAACUCUCAUUUGAGUUACAUCACCGGGCCUCAUUCGUAUUUGGUGAUACCCACUCUACAAGUCAACCUUUGGAAAAAACAAUGCACCACCAAGUUGGUCAAGUAACUCACCAAUUCUUGGGAUAGAAAAACAGUAUUUCAUUGUAAUCUGAUUGAUGGCUCUACUAUAUACACACAUUCUCCAACUACCAUCUUUCUUUGGACUUGGGAAAGUUGACACCAUGCAAGGACUCAAACUUGGUUGAACAUGCCCUUUCUUUAGGAGCUCCUUGAAGUGUUGGUGAAGAAUCGUGUACUCUUUAGGGGUCAUUCGAUAAUGAGAUAGGUUAGGAAGUGAAGCCCCCAGAAUUAAUUCAACGUGAUGUUGAAUAUCUCUCAAAGGUGGUAAUCCCUCUAGUUCUUGCUUAAUUGUGAAAAUUCAUCAAGCAAUUGUUGAACUUCUUUAGGAACUUCACGAUCUUCAUCUUCAAUGCACUUUUCAGUAACAAGUCCUUGUAUGUCUCCUCCUCUCUCCUUUAGCAACUUCUUUCCACUUAUUGUAGUAAACAAAUUAUUGCUCCUCUUCUUUGUUGAAUGGACACCUUCAUCAUCCUUUUUGGUCAAAGGUAUCUUCUUGUCCAUCCAUUGAAAUUCAUAAGUAUUCUCUCUCCCCUUGCAAGGUUUGAGCAUUGUAUUGCCACACAUCCAUCUCAAAACAUCACAAACAAUGUGAUCUUUGUAGUUAUUUCCAAUUGUCAAUGGAACAGUGCAUAUCUCAUUAACCAGUAAGUGCCACGUAAAUUCCUUCCAAUGAAGAUUCAACGGACAGCAAGCGUUGGGUUGAUGUUCUUGGAGAGGGUGGGGUUUUCUUCCACCUCUUGUUCUUCCACAAUCGAUAGAUUAGCUAAUUGCUAGGUUCACCGGCGGGCUUCAAAUGGACAUAGACAAUCGGUAGAUUAGCCAAUUUUGAUGUUAGUAUUGAAGCUUUUGAGUCAAUUGGUAAUUUAAGAAGGUAUCAAAGCAGAUUGGUCUAGAGAGUUCAUGUGUUUUAAACCUUUGCAUUAUUGUUUCCACCCCACUUAAAAUUGAUUUCCACUUGUUGGGCCUCUCAAAUAUUUGAAGCCUACAAGUGAGGAGUGUUAGCGAUAUAUGUUUAAAUUUACCUUCCCUUAUCCACUAGCUUAAGCUUUUGCAAUUAGUGAUUUAAGAGACCAAGAUAUGGGAAAGGAGAUCCCUCUAGCCUCUACUUUUGUCAUUUUGUAUUCUUUCACUUACCUUGAAAAAAUUCGGUUUUAAAAACGAGAAGAUGCAAAAGGAAAAACUAACGAAGUUUCUUUCGGUUUUCAGUAAUCUUCUUUAGGUGAAUUUCUUAACUGACAUCUUUUGUUAACUUUAUGAAAUCGAGGAAGUUGAUGUUUAUAUAUGUAGAAAUAGGUGAUUGCUUGAGGAAUGCAGUAUAUGAUUACCUCUAAGACUCGGAAUGGAUCCAAUGAUUCUCCAUGGUUGUGGAGAAGGCGAACAGCAGCUUUAAACAUAGGCUCCUUACCAUUUUGAGGAUCCAAAUACAUAUCGAGUAACCUACAGUUGUGUUAUAAACACAAAGCGAUAUUAAAAAAUGCACUGAGGUCUAAACGUAUCACUGAAAUUGAAGUGUUUGGGGCACAUAAAACCGAGAGAGCAAAGAUGAGCAAACAGAAGAAGAAAAUUAACUGGACAUAGGCAUCUGAUCUGCCAAUUUCAGCACAGUACUGCUCAGCAGCUUCACUGUCUUCAAGUUUCCUGACAUACCAUACCAUAUGAUAUUUUAUGAGCUAUUGAUUAUCAUGUUCGUGUAAAUAUGUAUUCCAUAACUUCAACUAUGUUGCAGGUGUUUGUACACUAUAAAUUCACAUGAGAAGAUAUUCGAAGUGCAACAACUUGCAGCCAACGGAGCAGUUGGUCUAAGUGAGAAAAUUCUUCCAAAUCCCAAUGAAACUCAUUUUAAAAACUAAAAAAGAUUAAAAAAACGACCCAGAAAAGAUUUAAAAAGUUAUCUAAACAUCAUAGCCUAAGUUAUCUUGUUACAAAUUGGAAUAAAUUUUUGUAAGCCCUUUGAUAGGGUUCUUUUGUAUAUUCUUCCAAUUAUUCAUUCAUUCACCAAUCAAAUUGUUUAUUAGAAAAAAAUUAGUCUAAACAGUACAAAGAUAACACAAAUAGUAUUUAGCAUCUUUUUUAACUAAUGAACUGUUCAGAAUCUCACACAAAACGUACAAGGCUAAAAUCCGGAGCACCAAUGCCUCUUGCCCUAGUUUCCGGUAUAGAAUAGCCUGCCCAGUCAUACAGGAAAAAACCAUUAAAAAGAAACAGACCAGUAAGUAAAUAAAUGCCAGCCUGACAUGACCUUAAACAAAAGGAAACUCUGGCAUAUAACAAAGCUUACUACGUCAUCAUGCAUCAAGGAUUGAGACGUGCAUGCAUAGAAAAGGAAUUGAUAGAAACCCUCAGAUAAAGAAAUUAUAUAAAGGAUAGUGAAUAAAAUGAUAUCCAAACAACCUUUUCCAACCAUAAUUCUGAUCCUUCAAUCAAGUGUAAAACCUCUUCUGGAUCAUACAAAUCUGAAGACUGUAAAAAGAUCUGUAACCUUUCUCGGAUUGGCUGUUCAAAUAUUGAGUUAAGUCUCUGAUCAGAAAUUUUUGGGUCUGAUGACGAAUCAAGGCUUUGAGUACUAUCAUGUUCGACUGCUGAUUUAGCUAAUGAGAGAGCAUAUAGUGAGUGGAAGUGAGGAUCGCAAGACUCUUGCUCUUCAAUCAACCACUGUAUAUACCUAAAUAGAAGUGGAUGUCAACCAGAAAAGACUUCUAUAAGACACAAAAUACAAAACUAAGAAAAUAGAGUAUGUGUGUGUGUAAGUAUAUGAAUACAUGUACAUAUUGAUGAUAAUCAAAGAGAAUAUAUUCAUCAAAAGAGAAGAAGGCAGCCUUAGGGAUGAGGGAUCCCUAAACCUAAUUUGGAGGAUAGACAAGAAAAGACCUCCAAUAUAAGUGGACGAGGAACCACUGUGUAUGACAAAAGAAUUGCGCAAGGCACCCAAAGAAGAUACAAAAAUUUAUAUAUGAAACAAAAUAUGACUAUAAGAACAGUUUUCCCCCCUGACAAAAUCGAUAUAUACAGUUAAAAAACAAACCAUUCAGCCCAUGUAGCAAAACGAUUUGGUCCAUGUCAUUCAUAAUGGCUGCUUAUUCAUUUCAUCACACCUUCAAUUAAGUAGCUGGCAUGGAAAAGAAUAUGCAAAUUAAUUUAAAUGAUUUGGCAUCCUAAUUAUGCCCUGUCUCCUUUCUCCUCUCCAUCUCAGGCCCCGUCUACCUCCCUUAAUCUCCCUUCUCUUUUAAUUAUAACCACUCCAAGAAAAAACUUCCCUAAAAAAGACCAUGCCAUCAGAAUCCAUGCACCUUUGCUAAGACAUUCGUAUUCUAUGAGAAAUGAUUUUCCAUCAAACACUUCCCAUCAACAACUCUAAAUAGAAUAUGAACCGAAGAGAAAAAAUUAUUGAUAAAUUCAUUGUUGGCAAAGUAGAUUUAUGGAUGUUUGAUGUCUCAUGAGAAGAAAGAAAGAAAGCGAAUAUGGAAAUAAAAUGAAGUCAAUUUAAGACGCACCUUUGAAGCAUUUCUACCUUCUUGGAAUCAAUAGCCCUUAUUAUUUCAUCUGAAAUUGAGGGGAAAAGGCUUAAACUAUUAGUAUGUGAAUAAGAAACAUAAAAAUUUAAAUAUGCAAAUAAAUGAACUGUAGAAGAGUGGUCUCAGCAGGCGGGGAGCUGACUUAAGAAUGUUCUCUGUUUAGUACUCCUGUUCCUGUCUUUUGUAUCCCUCGUGCAAAUUAAAAUAUUCAAAUCUAAUUUUGGGUGAUGCUUCACCUCUCUUCAGUUCAAUAUGCAAAUGAAUGUGGAGGUGGUUUUCCUAUGUCCCAUGUUUUCUUAAUCAAAGUACAGUUUCUCGUAAUAUUAACUAAGAAAAUGCAACUGCUUCAACUGGAGUCUGGAUAAGGCUACCUUCUCUAUCUCCUCAUGUUUUCCAGAGAGGACUUCUGACAGAUUUGCCACCCUGAUUUAUCCAAUCAUAAGUAGGCUUCUAGUUUCCUGUAGCUACUAACUCCCACGUACGAAGAAUGGCGAAGACUUGAGGGAGUUUGGGUUUAGGCUUCCUCUGGGUCUCAGGUUCUGGGACAUGGAACUUUCCAGCCAAGGGAUUGCAGAAGGAAUUACAACAAAGCAGUUCUUUCUCAAGCAUCUUCCACAAGGGUGCAUACUCCAAUUUUAUCUAAUUCAAAAAAUUCCCUCAAGCCUUCUAAUCCUUCUAAUCCUUCUAAUCCUUCCAAUUUCUUUUAUAAAGGGAGAUGACCUCUUUAUUAAUAUAAUAAUAAUGAGACAAAAGCUCAUAGUACAAGAGAAUUAUACAAUGAGCAUGUAACCAUAGACCAGGAGGUUCACCUGGACAUCUCAACUAGGUUGAUACUCCCAUAGCACAAGUUAAAAACCAAAAUAAGGGAGUAAUGUCCAAAGGCAAAACAAAAACCAAAAGAAGUACAGAGAAAUAAAAAGAAAUACAAAUACAAAUAAAAAGACUAAAAGAUUUAUUUCCUAAAUGCUAGAAGAAUCUAAACCAUGAAAAUUUAUUCUGCUCAAAUUGGACAAAAUUUGAAAUGAAGAAGGUUGAGAAAAAAUUUUGGCAAACGAAAAAACAUGACUGACUUUAAUCUUGCAAAAUACCUGGUGAUAAUUGAGAUUGUCUCUUUUCUGAUGUCAAAAUCUGAAUGGCAAAAUGCUGGUUGAUGUCUGCAAUCUGUUACAAGAAUACAAUUAAAAUCAGCGAAGUAUUGCACCACAGUCCACAUCUCGACAUUCCUUGAAAAUCUUCAAAUUCCACAGAACAGUAAAGCUGGCACAUACCCAUCCGAGGUGCUGAAGAACUAAUGCUUGAUCAGAUGACUCCUCAAGAAUCUUUGAUGCUUCUGCUGCAGCCACUUCCUUACCAGAUAUAUCCCGAACAUUGCUAUCCAUAGUACUCUCAUCCAUAGAAGAGUCCAUCAAAAGGCGGGAUGGAUAAUUUCUCCCCAAGAUACGCCAAAUUGCAAGAGCCUUUGAGCUCAUCCCUUUACUAGCAUAAAGGAAAGCAAGUGUACGCAAAUGUCCAGAGUCCUCUAAUAAAGUUUCCAACUCCUCCUGCACCGCCGAUUGAAGUUGUCUGUUUUACAAUGCAUAGGACCACUAAGGUUCUGCAAUUACCACAUCCUCUAGUAGCAUAUUUCAAACCAUAUCUAUCUUGAAGUCAUAGUUAAAAUAAAUGAACUGUUCAAAGGAUUAAUAAAUUAAAAUUUUCAAACAGCAUUUAGUUUGAUUGCAAGUUUUCACAUACUCAGUGAUUUGCCAACUCAUACAAUUUCAAAUACAGAAUUUUUUCUCUUAGAGGAACCUUCAUGCUUAGUUUUCAUGCUAGAAAACUAAACUAUAAGUACUUUUGUAGAUACUCCGCUUUCUUGAUUGACUUGAUUUUUUUCAAGUAACAACUUUUGGUAGGAAGGGGACGCCUAGUCCCUUUAAUUAUUGGGUUGUACCUUUCUUCUUGGUUGGUUUAGAAUCAAGUGAUCUAUUUCUUUAAAAAAAAAAAAAAAUAAUCAAAUCAAAUCAAAUUGCAAAAACCACCCUGAAUAUUGGCGGUAAGUAAGGAUCAACCUAGUUGAGAUGUCUAGGUGCGCAUUUUGAUUCUUUGGUCUCUUUGUUUGCUCCCAUUGUAUAACGCUAUUGUACUUUAAGUUUUUUAUCAUUAAUAUAAAGGCCGGUUUCCGUUUAAAAAAACCACCAUGAAGUAUAGAGGUAGUUUACAAUGCAAUUAUGUAACUGUUUGGCUCCUUAAACUUUUAUAUUUCUAAAGUUUGCAAGUUUGGGGCCCAAUUUUAACACUUCAAACUUUGAAAGUUCAAAUUUUGUCAUUAUAUGUUUGAGGGUCCAAUUCUACAAUUAUGCUAGUCUCAGGGUCCAAUUUUGUCAACCUCGUUGAGAUGUUUGGGUACACCUUAUUCUUAGGCCUUUUUGUUCUAUGCUCUUUGUAUAAUUCUCUUCUUCUUUGAGCAUUAGUCUCAUUUCUAUCUUUAAUGAGAUGACUUGUUUCCCUUUCACAAAAUAUAAGUUUAGGGGUUCAAUUUUUUACAAAUGAAAGUUAGAGGGUGUAGUUGUACUGCAAUACUUCAAGGGUGGGUUUUGCAAUUUGCCCCAAAAGAAAAGAAUCGUGCUGAAUCUGUUUUCUAUUAUGGCCGAUAUGUUGUAUCUCAAUGUACCGGAACAUAUUCACGUGAACAUUUCCAUGUUCCAUGUUCACGUGAACAUGGAAUAGUAAACUACCAAUUAGCAAUUCUUGUGUCCAUGUUCACAUGGUAAAAAAGAGAUAACAUAACAUAUAAAAAACGUCUUCUUCUUUCUUCUUCUGUUCUUUUUAUUUUUUUAUUUUUGGAAGGAAAUGAUACAAAAAAUGUUUUCUUAAAUAUAACCAAAUCAAACAUAAUAAGUAAAAAUAUGACAGAACACAUGUACACAUUAUUAUAAAAAAGUUAACACAACAAAAGGGAACCGCAUACCACAACGCAACUGUUUUCUGAAGAUGCCAGUUUUUCCAUCUUGUCAACAGAAUUUAAAGUUCUAUACAGGCACAUUAAAAGAGUGUCAACUCCCUCUCUAACAGCUGAUAUCAAUUCUUUAUCGCGGGAAGCCUCCAAAUACCUAUAUUGACAGAUAAGGAUAUUACCUUUUUUUGUCAGAGUGAGAUAAACAAAACUUAUUACUGAAUUUGCAAAAAGUAAUGGCCAUAGUUUUAUUGAGAAAAGUAGGUAUUGCUACUAACCAUGUAGAUGAUCAUCUUAAUAAUUAAUGAAGAAGUUAGCUACAGCAGUGAAAAUUUAAAGCUCUUUUGUACUUUGACCAUUAGUCUCAUUUCAUUGCAUUAAUGAAAAGACUUCUUUUCGUUUAAAAAUAUAAAUAUUUGUUGAAAAUAAUUGUACUAGGGUAUUUGAGUGAUCUUUAUAUCCUUGUUUAUUUGCUUUUUUGUCGAGUUGUGGAUGCUUCUUUGAUUGCCAACGAAAUCAUUGUUGAUCAAACCAACUGCAGAAAACAGGGGAUCAUGAUCAAGCUUGAUAUAGAGAAGGCUUUUGACAAGGUUGACUGGGAUUUCUUGAAUGUGAUUCUAAAAAUCAAAGGAUUUGGAAAGACACAGAGGAAGAUGGAUUAAUUGUUGCAUCUCAACAACAUGCUUUUCGAUCAUAAUCAAUGGUUGUCCAAAAGGAAAAAUCAAAUCCACCAGAGGGCUAAAACAAGGAGAUCCUCUCUCCCCUUUCCUUUUCGUUAUUGUCAUGGAUUGUUUUAGUAGAAUGAUGAUUGAGGCACAUGAUGUCCACCUUAUCAAAGGCAUCUAUAUUGGUAGGGAGUCCUGACCCAUACAAGAUCUUCAUUUGGCUAAUGACACCAUUCUCUUCAACGAAAACGAAAACUCAAUUCAGAAUCUUUUUGGCCUUGUAAGAUUUUUUAAGAGGCUUCAGGCUUAAAUAUCAAUCACCAAAAACCAGAAAUUACUGGAAUAAACAUGAAUCAGGAUGACAUGGAUUUGAUUGCUUCAAAUUAUGGAUUCAAGGUUGGCCAUUGGCCUGGAACCUACUUGAGACUUCCCUUAUUUGUUAAACAACGGUCAGCUUCCUUUUGGAACCCCAUCAUUGAGAAAAUUGAAAACGAUCACCAAAAAUCAAAGUUACUGGAAUAAACACGAAUCAGGAGGACAUGGAUGUAUCAGCCUUUAAUGAUUGAAAAAAGAUUACACUCAUGGAGUCAAUCAAGCAUAUCCAAGGGCGGCCAGCUCACACUGCUACAGGCCACUUUGUCUAGUCUUCCAAUAUAUUACCUUUCCCUCUACAAAAUGCCAAGCAAGGUGAUUGCAGCAAUAGAACAAAUAUACAGAUCUUUCCUAUGGAAAGGCAGACCAGACAAAGCUGGAAUGAACCUUGACAGAUGGGAAAAGAUUAUCAAGUCACACACACAUGGAGGUCUUGGAAUUCAAAGCAUAAAUUAUAAAAUAAAUAAGGCUCUUCUUGCAAAAUGGAUUUGACGCUAUCAACAUGAAAAGAAAUGCUCUCCGGAAAGAAGUCAUCAACACCAAAUAUAGUGCAACUCCUCAUUCUCAUUGGCCUAACACUUCUUUCCCCGACAAUAUCAAAGGUCCGUGGAGAUCCAUUCUACAUCAACUUGGCCUUCUAAAGAGAAAAACAAUCAAGGUGGGGAACAGUAACUGCACAUCCUUUUGGUAAGAUAGUUGGAUUAACAUCACCCUCUCAUCUACCUUCCCGCAACCCUACAACCUGACUAACAACAAGCUUGCCUCUAUGAGUAACUGCUGGGAUGAGCACAUGGAUGGUUUAUCUCUUAGGAGAAUUUUUUUUUGAAACGGAGACAAACUUUUUUAUUAAUAAUAGUAAGAGCUCAAUGGACAAGAGAAUUAUACAAUGAGCUAAACAAAGAAGUCCAAACAAGCGAAAAAAGAAGAAUAAUAGGGAUCAGAAGGUGCACCCGGACAACUCAACUAGGUUGACACCCCCUUAGUACCAAAACAUCAUAUCCCUUUAAAACUAGCUUUGAUGAACAAUUUGAAGAUUGGCUUUGAUGAACCUCCUUGCGUCUAUUAAACCUACUCAUUCGAGAGACAAGAAAUGGUUCUUUCUCUACCAAAACUCUGACCAUGGAUCUUGACAACGAUGGAGACACUAGCAUUUCUUCUCUAUUCAAGGCUAUAUGGACUGACUUCUACAAAAAAGUCAACUUUUUAUUGUUGAAAAUUGGUCAUAAUGCAAUCAACACUAAUGAUAAAAUCCAGAGAAGAUGUCGACACAUUGCAUUAUCUCCUCAAUGUUGUCACUCUGCUUCAGGGACUAUGGAACAGCUAACCAUCUUUUCAUUCAUUUCCAAUUUGCUAAGCUUUUCUGGAUGGAAAUCAUCACUUCCUUUGGUUUGUCAACCCCUUUCCCAUGUGACAUCCAAAACCUUCUUACAUAUAUGCUCUAUGUCACCCCUUCAACAAACUGAUGUAGAACAUCCUCCUUUCUUGAUAUUUCUUGAAGUUCUUUAGUAUUUCUUUAGCUAAUUCUUGAGUAUCUUGAAUUACCAUUCUUGUAUCUUAAGAUUAGUUAUUUAAAUCUUGUGUAUCUUGAGUUAGUCAUAAAUAACUAACUCAACUUCAAGUUAGUUCUAUAAUAACUAACUUCUAACAACUCUUGUAAACUUCCAGCCUAUAAAAAGGCUUCUCCACUCAUUAGUGAAAAUAUCAUAAGUAUUAUUCAUAAAAAUUCCUAAGCUUUGCAAUUACUGCAUCAAUUGGUAUCAGAGCGUGAUCCUAGCUCACCCUUCCCUAAAAAACUUAGAUCUUACCACUCACAACCAUGGACGUGGAAGCCUCCUUUAACCAACGCUUGCAGUUGGUAGAACAAGUUGUUGAAGAACUUCAGAAAGGACAAUCAGAUAUACAGCAAUCCCUAGUAGAUUUGACCAAUUUUUUUACCCAAUUUCAUGCCCAACCUUUAGAAGAAGCAAUCCAACCCCCAAGGAACCCAAUUGCAACAAACCAAGAAAGGCAAGAAAGACCAAGAAACCCAAUUGCAAACCAAGAAGGACCAAGAAAUCAACCUAUUCACAUCCACGAUAACCAGCUAUAUGGGAACAACCUACCUGGAUAUUUGUUAGAAGAUUCCGACUUUUCCGAUUAAGAUAGCUUGCUGAACAUUCAUCAAAAACCACAACAAGGACUUGGGUUUCGACCGAAUUUUCAAGAUCAAGAAAUACGUAUGAAAGUAAAUCUUCCAACCUUCAAUGGUUGAAUGGACGUGGAGAAGUUUCUCAAUUGGAUAAAGAACGUGAAGAAUUUUUUCGACUAUGCCAAUACACCGAACACAAGAAGGUUCGAUUAGUUGCUCUCAAACUUCAAGGUGGCGCAAGUGCUUUGUGGGAUCAAUUACAAAACAAAUAGACAAUUAUUCGGUAAACAACCAAUAAGAAGUUGGCCAAAGGUGUAAGAAAAGAUUCCUACCCAUCUACUACCAGCAACUACUUUACAAUCAGUGUGAACAGUGCCACCAAGGCUCACAAAACAUCAUGGAUUAUACAGAAGAAUUCUAUAGACUUAGCGCCUGAAAUAAUCCUCCCGAAACCGAACACCAACAAAUUUCCAGGUUUAUCCAUGGUCUACAAGAUAAGAUUAAAGAUAUUAUAAACUUACAUCCUUUAACUUUUCUUUCAGAUGCCAUCUCCUUAGCUUCCAAGAUUGAAGACAGUAAAGAAAUCAAGAAAACCAAGAUUUCUCAAAGAAAGAAUAAUUGGGACAAACAGUAGAGAGCAAACUCAACUACUUCAUUUAGAACCUUUCAACAAGGAAGUUCCUCCACAUCUUCACAGCUUGCUAAGAAAGAUGAAAACCCACCAAACUAGGUGAGAAUACCACAAAGAAGGUUGACAACGUUUAUAACCGUCCUACUUUGGGUAAAUGUUUCAAGUGUGGACAACAAGGACACCUCUCCAACGAGUGCCCUCAAAGAAGAACUUCGACAAUUGAAGAAGGACAAGAAGGAUACUCGGAUGACUCAAAUGACAACAUCUAUGAGAUUUUAACACUGGAUGAAGGAGAUCAACUAUCUUGUGUAGUUCAGAGAAUUCUUUUCACCCCUACGGCUGAACAAAUACCUCAAAGGAAUUCCCUCUUUUGAACAAGAUGCACCAUUAACGGUAAAGUGUGUCAAGUUAUCAUUGAUAGUGGUAGUAGUGAAAACUUAGUGUCUAAAAAACUAGUUUCUGCCUUAAAUUUGAAAACUGGCCCACACCCAAAUCCAUAUAAGGUUAGUUGGAUAAAGAAAGGGGGAGAAGCUAUUGUUAGUGAGGUUUGUACUAUUUCUUUAUCAAUAGGACAGCACUAUAAAAACCAAAUUAUAUGUGAUGUUCUUGAUAUGGAUGCUUGCCACAUCCUUUUAGGAAGACCUUGGCAAUAUGACACAGAUUACAUUCAUAGAGGUACAGCUAACACUAUUGAGUUUGAUUGGAUGAGUUGUCGUGUAGUUCUUUUACCUAUAGGCAGCUUCAGUUAAACAAAACCUAACCCUAAUAAAGGAAAACAACUUUUUCUAUAUUUAAGGGUAAGGAGUUCCUGCCAUCAAGUUCAACACCUAUCUUAGCCUUUGUUAUUAAAGGAAACAACACUACACCUUCUGAAAAUCAUUUACCAAGUGAGAUAACAAACCUUCUAGCUAAAUUCUCAAAAAGCAUAGAACCAACUACUUCACUGCCACCUCUUAGAAAUAUACAGCACACUAUAGACUUAAUGCCCGGUAGUACCUUACCUAAUCUACCACAUUACCGAAUGAACCCUAGGGAGUACAAAAUCUUACAUGAACAAAUAGAAGAACUCCUUAGUAAAGGUCAUAUCCAACCUAGCCUAAGUCCUUUGCUAUUCCAGCUUUACUUGCUCCCAAAAAAGAUGGCAGCUGGAGACUUUGUAUGGAUAGUAGAGCUAUAAAUAAAAUAACAGUCAAAUAUAGGUUUCCCAUACCUCGUUUAUCCGACCUCCUUGAUCAAUUAGGUAAAGCUUCCAUCUUUUCCAAAGUAGAUCUUAAGAGUGGCUACCACCAAAUUAGAAUUAAACCAGGGGAUGAGUGGAAAACAGCCUUUAAAACCAAUGAAGGGUUGUUUGAAUGGUUAGUUAUGCCCUUUGGUCUCUCUAAUGCCCCUAGCACCUCUAUGAGAUUAAUGAACCAAAUCCUACAAUCUUUUUUGAAUAAAUUCAUUGUGGUAUACUUUGAUGACAUACUCAUCUAUAGCUCCUCUAAGGAAGAUCACCUAAAACACAUCUAUCUACUUUUUACAGCCUUACAAGAAAAUGAAUUACAAAUUAACCUAAAAAAUGUGAAUUUGCUAUAGUGUUCAUUUUCUUGGACUUAUCAUAAGUUGUGAUGGUAUUUCUGUUGAUUCUAAAAAGAUUGACUCUAUUAGUUCUUGGCUACCACCAAAAAAUCCAAAAGAUAUUCAAUGCCUUUAAGUUUUAGCCUCUUUUUAUAGAAGAAGGUUCAUCAAGAACUUCAACACCAUUGCAGCACCUUUAACAAACUGUUUAAAGAAAGGCAGUUUUCAAUGGGAAAAGUAGAAGAAAACAGCUUCUGUCAAUUAAAAUUAGCUUUAGCUAGCCCCCUGUUUUAAAACUUCCAAACUUUGAUAAACCAUUUGAAGUCAUUGUAGAUGCUUUGGGUUUAGGUAUAGGAGCUGUCUUUAGUCAAGAAGGUCACCCUUUAGAGUAUUUUAGUGAAAAACUAAGUACUUCUAGAUAAAAUUGGAGUACCUAUGAACAGGAGUUGUAUGCCCUUGUGCGUGCUCUAAAACAAUGGAAACAAUAUCUACUUGCUAAUACUUUUAUCUUACUUACUGACCACCUCCCUUUCAAAUUUCUGAAUUCCCAAAUCAGUAGAAUGCAUGCUCGUUGGUUACAGUUCUUGCAAAGAUUCAACUUUGUAAUUAAACAUACUUUAGGUAAGUCUAAUAAGGUUGUUGAUGCUCUCAGCCGAAAAGGUACACUUCUCACCACCCUCCAAUCUCAAAUAAUUGCCUUUGAUCACCUUCCUACAUUGUACCCAACUAACACUAAUUUUAGAAGUAUUUGGAAAAAUUACUCUAACCAUAAACCUUGUAAAUAUUACCACAUUGUUAAUAAUUUUCUCUUCAAAGGUGAUGUUUUGUGUGUUCCUCAUACAUCUUUAAGGGAAGCAAUAAUUAAAGAAGCACACUCUAGUGGAUUAGCAAGACAUUUUGGCCGAGACAAAACUUUGGCUGCGAUUAGCUCUAAAUUCUUUUGACCACAACUCAAUAGGGAUGUUACUAACUUCAUCAAAAGAUGCUCUAUUUGCCAAACAGCUAAAGGUAAUACUUAAAAUACAGGUUUGUACACUCCUUUACCUGUUCCUUCUACUAUUUGGGAGGAUUUAUCUAUGGAUUUUGUGUUGGGUUUACCUAGAAUGCAAAGGGGUCAUGAUUCUGUUUUUGUAGUAGUAGAUCGCUUUAGUAAAAUGACCCAUUUCAACCCUUGUAAAAAGACUUCUGAUGCUUUGAAUAUAGCUAACUUGUUUUUUUGAGAAAUUGUUAGAUUACAUUGAAUCCCUAAAAAUAUAGUGUCGGAUCGAGAUGCAAAGUUUUUUAGUCACUUUUGGAGAUCCCUGUGGAAGAAAUUCGAUACCAACCUUCUGUUUAGUACUGCCACCCACCCACAAACUUACGACCAAACAGAAGUGACCAACUGAGCUCUUGGAGACCUCAUUUGGUGUCUUAGUGGGGACAAGCCUAAACAAUGGGACUUAGCUUUACCCCAAGCAGAAUUUGCCUUAAACAACAUGGCAAACCACUAAACAGGGCAAGUCCCCAUUUGAGGUUGUAUAUACUAGUCUUCCUCAAGUCACUUUUGAUUUAGCUAAUCUACCCUCUAUUGUUAAUGUCAAUAUGGAGGCUGAAGCAAUGGCUGAACGUAUUUCCAAGCUACACCAAGAAGUCCAGAGUCAUCUAGAGCUUGCUAAUGACUCCUACAAAACAGCCGCCAACUCUCACAAAUGCUUUAAGGAAUAUCAAGUGGGUGACCUAGUUAUGGUGUACCUUAAAAAAUCAAGACUACUUGCUGGUCAUCAUUCCAAAAUGACCAACAAGAGAAUGGGUCCAUUUCAAAUAUUGGAAAGACUUGGCCCCAAUGCUUACCGAGUAGAUCUCCCAGCAAACAUGAGAAUCAGCCAAUCUUUCAAUGUUGCUAGAUUGUCACCUUACUAUACACCAGAUUCCUUCUCUUUAGCUCCUUAAUCUUCACUCGAGGUUGAAUUUUAUCCUAGGGGAGGGGUUUGAUGUAGAACAUCCUCCUUUCUUGAUGUUUCUUGAAGUUCUUUAGUAUUUCUUUAGUUAAUUCUUGAGUACCUUGAAUUAACAUUCUUGUAUCUUAAGAUUGGUUAUCUAAAUCUUGUGUAUCUUGAGUUAGUCAUAAAUAACUAACUCAACUCCAAGUUUAACUUCUAACAACUCCUGUAAACUUCCAACCUAUAAAAAGGCUUCUCCACUCAUUAAUGAAAAUAUCAGAAGUAUUAUUCAUAAAAAUUCCUAAGGUUUGCAAUUACUGCAUCACAAACACAAGAAGAUUAUGUUGUGACAUCAAAUUCAAGCUUUUCUAUAGACUAUUUGGACAGAAAGAAACAAUCAUAUGUUCAAGAUAAGAAGAAGUCAUUUGAUGCUUUUUGGGAACAAUCUACUUAGCCAUGACUUGGUGCAAAUGUUCUCUUUUUCAAUUUGUAUGAUCUCACGUCUCUCAUAUCAUCCUCCCCCCCCCCCCCCCCCCCCCCCCCAUUUUCAUUUAUCAAUGAGUAAUUUCUUAUAGGAAAAAACACAUGAUUUUAGAAGGAAGAAAAUUGAAGGUACAGUUCUGUUUUUGAAAAUUAAGCUUAUGCCACAACUCCUACCUAUAGUUUUCUUGAUUUACAACUACUUUUUAAAUAUGUUUUCAAAACUCAAGCCAAGAUUUUAAAACUAAGAAACGUAGUUUUCAAAAACUUGAUUUUAUUUUUGAAGUUCAGCUUAGAAUUGAAAUAUAUGAUUUAAUAAAUGUGGAAACCUUACCAAAAAGUUGGAAUGAUUGAAAGCAAGCAUAAAUUGUAUGAAAACAAGCCUACUAUUCAAAAAUAGAAAAGUAAAAAAAUAAUGGUCAUUAAAUAGGGGCUAAAUAAAUCGCAAAAUCAAACUUUGGACCCAGAAAUAGCACAAUCCAAUCCUCAUCAUAUGUUGUUGCAAAAAUAAAAGAAAUUAAAACAGAAAAGUCCACACUGAUAUAAAUAUCUAUAAACAAUCUUGCCUAAAAAAAUCAGUUAAAAAUAAUAUAAAUACCUGAUAAUAUGCUUUACAGCCGACUCCAACAAAUCUGACCUACUCGGUGGAUUCAAGAGAAAAUCAUCGUUUACAGCAGUUUCUACUCCUACUUUUUUAAGAAAUGUGGCUCUCUGGAUGGCAAGCAAACCAUCGUCUAUAACAUCUUCAAAGGGAGCAGGGGGUGGAUGCAUUGCCCAGUACCGAUUUCUGGGAAUCUGAAAGUUCGAAAUUUAAAAAAUAGAACUACAAUAUUGAAACUGUAUGCUCUUUCUAGAGAAAAGACACAAAUAAAUAAUUUGAAACUAAUUUGAACCCUCAAAUUGUGCGGCUAGAAAUAAAAUGGGCAACCAAAAAAUUCGCAUUUAGAAUCCAAAGCAACAAAAAAGUUACCAAAAUCGACAAAUUAAAUACUUCUAUUCCUGAGUCAUUUGGAUGGAAAUCAGACUUUUUUAUCUUGUGAUGCAAGACAUUGGUCUUUGGUUUCCUCCGGGAGGAUCUCCAUUAAUUCCCUUUUCUGAGCAUUUAAUUAUUGCAUCCCCAAGGUUGAAGAAGCUAAUCAGGGCUUGUGGAAAUCCCAAAGUCACAAGCACAGCACAUAACCAUCCUUGUAUGGGUAAUGUUUUUUGGUACACUCAAUUCAUCUCUACUUUUCAACACAAACUUCAGGAGCAUUGUUUAUCUCCAUCCACCUGCCCUUUGAGUAUGGCUCAUGGUGAAGACUUGCAGCAUUUGUUUUUUCAUUGUCAUUUUUCACAAUCCUCCUAGUGGUGGCUAUUCUCUUAUUUUCAGCUUCAUUGGGUUCUUGGCUCAUUUGGGGAGAGCACCAUCCAGAUUUUGUUUGGCCAACACUUGGCUCAUUUUUUUUAAAAGGAGACAAACUUCUUUAUUAAUGAUAAAAUCUCAUCUGAAUUAGCAAAACAUGAAAGUCAUAUCGUGGAACACUAAAGGCAUCCUAAAUAAAUCAAACAAUUAGCCUUGAAAGAACUACUGAAGUUGACUUAUCUAGAUGUUCUAAUUCAGGAGACAAAAACAAGAGACUAUUGACAACUCCUUAAUUAAGGCUCUAUGGAGUUCGAAGGACAUUGGCUGGUGGUGUUAUAUUGAAUCAACUGGUAGAUCUGGAGGAAUGUUGACUAUGUGGAAUGAACGUAAAUACCUGUGACUAAAAUCAUUAAAGGAAGAUACGUUCUCUCGUUUAAAUGCAAUACUAUUUGCAAGAAGCCUUGUUAACAUAAUAAAGAAAGCUUGCCGGAAGCUUUGGCAAAUGAAGAAGACAAGGAUGAGCAGCCAGAUUUGGCGUCAAAGAGUAGUACCCAAAAAUGGUUGCUGGAAGCUGACCUGAAACUAUAUAGGAGGGAGGAAAGAAACCUUAUUCAGAAAAGAAAAUUAAACCGGAUGGAAUUAGGAGAUGUGAACAUCAAGUCUUUUCAUCAGUUUCAAGCCGCAAGUCUUUUUAUCAGUUUCAAGCCGCCAAAAAUAAAGAGUCUAAAGUUUUUUUGCAGAGAGUAGAGAAUUGGUUAGACAGCUUCAAGGGGGGCCUCAUCUUAAUAAGACUGCACAGUUUCUUUGAUGGAAUGCAGUCAAAGCCUUAUUGGCCGUUUUGUGGUUUGGAAGAAACCAAGGACUUUUCACAACAAAUCUCUCAAUUGGGAUGAUUUUUUUAAAAAUGUUCAUUGAAAUGCCUCCUCGUGGUGCAUUCUUUCUAAGGAAUUCAACAUGUGGUGCGACAUAAUUAUAGUGCAGAAGAAAGGAAAGCCCUUGUUGAGCUAGUUAGCUAUAUAAAGAGCAUUGGGUCCAUGAUGCAGCAGUGUGAUACUCUGAUAGCUGAUGCUUUGUGGGAAACAGUUCCUGCUGAAGGAUUGCCCAUGUGUAGCCUUUAUUUUGAGAUUGUAUUUUUAGGCCUUCCCUAUUGUUUCUUGCUGUUUUUUCUGGUCCCAUAUUGUUUUCUGGACCAUUGUAUCAAGCUGGAUGUUUUAUUAUUGUAUCUUUGUUGGGUUUUUUAUGUUUUUACUCGGUAUAUAAUGCUUGGCGCUAUGGGGUGUUGAGAUAUUCGAGUGUGCCUCUUGAUCCCUCUAGGACUCCCUUGACUAUAACUUCUUUAUUACUCCCUUUGUAUAAAUCUCUUGUACUUUGAGUUCAAAUUAAUAAAGAGGUUUUGUCUCCGUUUCAAAAAAGAUAAAAUCUUAAAGUACAAGAGGUAUAUACAUUGAGAAUACUAAAGAAGCCUAAAGAGUGAAAAGCUAGGGGCAUCGGAAGGUGCACCUGAACGUCUCAACUACAGUGACACCCUCUUGGCACCAAAACAUCAUAUCCCAAAUAUAAGACUGAAUAAAACAGGGAAAAUAAAUGAGUUCGCCAACACUUGGUUCUUUGAUCUCAACUUUUAUGGUCAAAUGCAGUUAAAGCUCUUCAUUUAAGAUUUGGUUCGAACGAAAUCAGCAGUUUGUCCAUAGUAAAUCAUUUUGUUGGAUUGAUCGUUUGGGAUCGGCCCAUCUCCAUUCUUCUCUUUGUGUUCUCUAUCUAAGUCUUUUUCUAGUUAUUCUAUCCAAGAUAUUUGUUUGAAUUGGAGUGUUUUUAUCUUACCUGUUUAAGUUUUGUAUUUUCUUUAAACUUUCGUUUUAUGUUUCAUUCAUAUCUUGUAUUUUGAACAUUAGUCUCUUUUCACUAUAUCGCAAUAAGUCUUGGUUUCCUUUUCUUUUUUCGAUAUUCGUGAGUGUCUGGACCAGCUUACGCGCAACUCGACUAAUCUCACAGAACAAUCUGCUUGACUUUGUUUCCUUUUUUAAAAAGUUAAAUAUACGAAAGAGUAAGCAUUCUCAGACCAGUCACAUGUAAAAAUUUAUCCCUACCAUUCUCAAUAUCUUCAUACAGUCCAACAUAAAAGUUGAGCUGCAGAACAUUUUUCCAACAAGUUUCUUUUACUGGGUUGACAGCAUCAUCAAGUUAUUGGUCAAUAGGCAUGAUGCAAAAAAAUUAAGAAUUAACACGAGAAAGUACCAGUAGGGACCAACGAUUUGGGUCCUUCAUCACAAAUGGGAAUAUUUCAGAAGGCUGCAUUGUCUCAGAUUGCAAAAAGUGAUUUACCGCUUCCUCAAAUUGCAAGUCAAAAAGCAAGAGAAAACCAAUUUGAGCAUGAACAAAGUAUAGCAUCUCCUUGGACAUUUCACCUGCACACUCUAGGUCCUCAGCCAAAGAGAUGGCUUCCUUAAAGUUCUUCCUUCUCAGCAAAUCUUUAAUUUGUUCAUCACAAGGCAAUUUUUGAUAGCACAUAACCUGAUGAUUAUCAAGCCAAGCAAUAAAAAUUAACACAAAUAACAAUUUAGAACUAGCUGAGCAUCUAGAAUGAAUUAUAUAAACAUCAGUCAUGAAGCCAUUAUAGCAAGCCAAGCAUUCUCAGUAGGCGCCACUAUAUACUAAAACAAAAAAGACAAUCACAUACCUUACAUGAAUAUAGUUUCUUACGGAUCAUAAUAUUUAUAUUAGUUCCACUGCUCCUCUUCAACAAUCACUAGUCUGAACCUUAGUUUUUUUUAUUUUUUUAUUUUAUUUUUAGAAAAAUAAAUACACUGUUUCUCCAAAAUUGAAUUUAAAAGAACUUUUUUUUAACACAGAUAGAAUUAAACCACACAAGAGUUCAUCUUCAUCAUACAAACAUUCUCACUAAUAGCAGAGGAAAACCACAGGGGCACAUCAAAAGAAAAAAUCUCAUCAUCUUCAGAGUGCAAAGACAAGGGUCACCGAAGACAAAAACCAAAAGACCCCAAACCAUCGCUGCACAAACAAGUGAAUGCACCACUCACCAAACCAAUCAAAGGACUGCACCCCAGCCAAGACAGCCAAAUACACAAUCACAUCCACCAGCCCUGCAAGCUCAGACAAAUCAGAGUUCUGACCACGACAAGCGAAAAUGAGCUCACUACAAUUGAACUCAACAAUCACAAGGAGAGGAAGAUCCCCCUGAACGACUAACCUAUCCAAGAUGGUCAACAGACACUUACUCAACGCAAGCGCUUCAAAAUUUUUGAUAGCCCGCCUCAAAGACACCUUUUUUUUUAUAUUCAUGAGUGUCUAGGCCAGCUUGACUAAUCUCACGGACAACUCGCCUGACCAUACAACAUUUGGGUGUCAAGGAACUCGUAGGAAAUUAAUUCCUAGGUAGGUGGCCACCAUAGAUUAAAUCCAUGACCUCUUAGUUUAUUAUUGAUUUGGCACUGUCUUCUUUUUUACCACUAGGCCAGCCCAUGAUUGUUUACCUCGACAACACUUUUUUCGCAACCGACAAGAACAGGAGACCCCGCAGAGUCACGCACUAACCAACCAAUACCACCAUAGCCAGCAGAAUCCACCCAAGACGCAUCGAAAUAAAGCUUCCAAGCUCUAACAACAGGCAGAGACCAACACAAGUGACUCAGUGGACUCUCCUUCUAACAAGCGGGGAACAAACCGAAACCCGUAACCGAAACCCGUCACUAUGCACUCAGACACGAUGUAAUAGGACAUUUCGAUCCAGUACAACCCCACUAGACCUUAUCAGGUUCCAAAGGUUACAAACGCACGGUAGGAGAAUAGCAGUCAUCUCUCGAUUUGAACUCGAAAACUUCUUUAAAACCCUAUCCCGACAAGGAAUUUGGUUAAAAAGAAGUUGGAACCUUCAUUAAACAAGGAAUUUGGUUACAAUGAAAAGAAGGUAUAAAGGAGAUUUCAAGACGAACAUUUCUCAUCUAAAUUGUAAAUCUUGUCAUCCAUGGUUAUAAAAGAGUUUGGCAAUGAUUAAUCAAGCCAUAGCACAUCCUAUCUCCAUACGAGAGAACUCUUCAUAAACUAGUUCCAAGUUCUCUCGACUAAAUUCCAAUGCUGUCUUAUUGGUUGAGUAGAAGAAAACUCCUCGAGAACUAUAGGUUUACAUUUUCAUUGGCUCAAUAAGAAUAUUAAUGCAAGGAACUAGAAGUGGUGAUUUUCAAGGAAAGACUAUGAGAAACAUCUAACUCUAGUAUUUAUUUUACUCAUGCCAGAUUAAAGAACUUAAAGUGUUGUCAGCUUAAUUGUAUUAAAAGCAAUAAACAUGAAAAACUAGGCUUACAUGGAAACCUGGGUACCAGGAGAAAAACCACGAUAUUGUUACUUUUACUAUUUUAUGAUGGAUUACAAAAGUACAAUGAAGGAGAUUAAAUAGAAUACAUAAAGAUUAAAGAAAGACAAAAAAAAAUGUUUAUAGUAAAACUUUCCAUAAAUAACUUUUUCGAUAAACACCCUAAGGGCCAACCCCACAAAUUCUAACACUCCCCUCCAAGUUGGGACAUAAAUAUCGAUGAGGUCCGACUUGCUAACACAAAAAUCGAAGUUUGGUCUGAGAAGCCCUCUGGUGAGAACAUCAGCAACCUGUUGGCUCGAAGGGAUGUACGGAAUGCAUAUGCUCCAACUAUCAAAUAUUUCUUUGAUGAAAUGCCGAUCAAUCUCAACAUGUUUAGUUCUAUCAUGUUGAAUCGGGUUGUUAGCAAUACUAAUAGUGGCUUUAUUAUCACAAAAAAGCUUCAAUGUGUCUCACAUUCCUUAUGAAGAUCAGACAUAACUUCCUACAGUCAAAUUUUCUCACAUAUUCCCAAACUCAUAGCUCAGUAUUCGGCCUCAGCGUUGCUCCUGGCCACAAGAGUUUGCUUCUUACUCCUCCAAGUUACAAGAUUGCCGCAAACAAAGGUACAAUAAACGAAGAUACACUUUUUGACAAUGACAAAGCCUGCCCAGUCCGAGUCAGUAUGUGUCUCAAUGGUCUUUCUAUCUGUCUUUCUAAACACCAACCCUUUACCAGGUGUCAUUUUCAAGUACCUCAAAAUUCUGUUGACAACUUCCAUGUGUUCCUCAUAGAAAAGGAAACAUUCACAGAAAAGGAAACAUCAGGACGACGAAAAAUAGUACCUUGGUUUCGGUUUGUUAACCACAAGGCGCUGAUAUUGUUAUUUAUCAACUGAUACUUGAUCAUCAGAGUUAUCAGAGUUUCCUAGCUUAUAGUUGAAUUCAAUAGAAGCGUUAGCAAGACGACAUACCAACAUACCUGUCUCCGUCAACAAAUCAAGGGUGUAUUUUCUUUGAGACACGGAUAUGCCUUCUUUAGAUUUGGCCACCUUCAUUCGAAGGAAAUAUUUCAGAUUUUCCAAAUCCUUGUUUUCAAGUUUACCACUCAUUCUUUGCUUUAGUUAACUGAUUUUUGUCUGAUCAUCUCCAGACAAAACAAUAUCAUCCACAUAAACUAUCAAAACUGUCAUUUUCCCUGUCUUGAAAACCUUUGUAAAUAAAGUAUGAUCAGAGUGCCCCUGACUGUACCCUUGGGACUUGACAAAGGUAAUAAAUCUGUCAAACCAUGCUUUGGAUGACGUUUUCAGACCAUAUAGGAAUUUUCUGGAGUUCACACACCUGUUGACCAAACUAAGCUUCAAAUCCAGGCAAGGGGCUCAUGUAGACUUUCUCCACCAGGUCUCCAUUCAGAAGAGCAUUCUUAAGAUCCAACUGGUAUAGAGGCCAAUCUUUGUUCACAACAACAUAUAGAAGGACUCUAACAGUAUUCAACUUAGCAACUGGAGAAAAGUUUCUGAAUAAUCAACACCAUAGGUUUGAGUAAAUUCCUUUGCAACUAACCUUGCCUUGUGUCUGUCAAGAGUUCAUCUGCUUUGUAUUUGAGAGAUAACAUCCAUUUGCAUCCCACAGUUUUGUAUCCUUUGGGCAUAGCAUAAAUCUCCCAACCUUUAUUCUUUUCAAGAGCCUUUAUUUCUUCCAUGACAGCAUUCUUCCAUUCAGGACGCUUUAAAGCAGUGUACAUAUUUUUUUGUUUCAUGGUAGAGUCAGACUUGCUGUAAAAGCUCUGAACUAUGAAGAGAUAUUAUCAUAAGAAACAUAAUUGCAAAUGGAAUGUGUAGUAUAGUGUUGAUUUUAUGGAAUUAAUCUAUAUUUCAUUCAUUAUUUAAUAGAGAUACAAACCUAUAUAUAACCAUAGAGAAAUACACUUAAGGAAAUAAUAUCAAAUAAUAUCUCCUAAGAAUAAUCUAAUUAUAUUAAUACCCUCCCUCAAACUCAAGGUUGAAAUCACAAACUUGAGUUUGCUAAGAACUAAGAAAAGAAACAAUAUAUCUAGAAUAGAAUAAAAAACCCGAAGAACAAACAGACAAAGAACUUCUAGGUUAAAACAAACCCACGAAAAACUUCCGGGAUAGAAACAUAGAUCCUCGUAUAGAGAUCUAUAACAGAACCUAGGAAGAACGAAACAAGAACUUCGGGGGGCAAAAUGAAAGAGCAAAACUGAAGCAAAGUAGAAUCAAAGCUGGACGAAAACAGGGUCGGAAUUGGACAGAAGUGUUUUGUCGGAUCAAAAUGGAACCGAACGAACUAAACUAGAGCAAGUCAGAAUCAGAUUAAACGGGAAAUCUGGGGAGAACAUAACGGAAACUGAACUGAAUGGAGCAGAGAGGCUUAGCGGAUCUGAACAAAAACAGAAACGAGGCGUCGUUGGAUCUGGGCUUCGAUCUAAACUUUGAAGGCAGACAUGAAGGAUGGGUCUGAACGAAAUUAGACAGAUCUGGAACAGAUUGGAGGCAGACGCGAGGAUCUGAGGACAUGGGGUUUCAUGGUUUUGUUGGGACAGCGUAAGGAGAUGGAGCAACGGUAACGAAACGCAGCGGCGAGCGGAGCUUCUUGGACGACGGAAAAAACUGAAACUCUUCGGCUGGGCGUUCGGCUUCAACUGACAGAGGUUCAAUCGGUUGCUUGGCUAACGGAAAAACAAGAGGUCGGACGAAGAACUAUGAAGGAGAUGGCCGCCGCAGACGCUAGUGAAAAACGAAUGGGGUUUCUGGGGUUUGGAUGGUGGCAGAUUUGAACAGCAAUGAGUGACAAAGGGAAGGUGCAACGACAACGGCAAAUUUGCAGAUCUAAGGGGCGGCUUCAGCUAAUGGGAGAUGAUUCUGCCUCCGUUGAUGAAUGAUCAACGGAGGCAGAGAUCAAACGGGAUGUGGAGGCUAGAAUUCAAUAAGGCAAAAACCCUAGAACUCUGAUACCAUGUUGAUUUUAUGGAAUUAAUCUAUAUUUCAUUCAUUAUUUAAUAGAGAUACAAACCUAUAUAUAACCAUAGAGAAAUACACUUAAGGAAAUAAUAUCAAAUAAUAUCUCCUAAGAAUAAUCUAAUUAUAUUAAUAUAUAGAACCUAGUACCUUUUCUCAGAGCAAUGGGAAUAUCAAGAGAGGGAUUAUAUUCAUCAAGUUUCCCUGUAUAACCCUGUUCAGCUUCAUUAUUACUGGUUCCUGCUCUGACCUCCCUUAAUCUCAUCACCAUUGUUCUUUUCUUCCACAUUUUCAAAACCAGCAACAACAGACAUGUCAUUCUUACUGAUCUUUAUUACUCGUACAAGGUUGUUUUGGACCGGAGCCAACGGCUGACUAGUAGGGGACCCAACAUUUUUUUGAGAUUCCUCUUGUAAUACAUUUUCCAAAAAACUUGGUUUGUGGGUAGGACUAUGGGAUGAGGAUCGAAGUCAGGCACAGUACUAGAAGUUAGUUCAAUAAACUCUAAGGUGUUGUUAGACUCUUCACUCACACUCUCCCCCUGAAGAUGGCUAGCAGGAAAGUAGGGUCGGUUCUCACAAAAAGUAACAUCCAUAGUGACGAAGUAUUUCUUGAACGACAAGUGAAAACAUUCAUAACUGCGUCGAUCAAGGGGAUACCCAACAAACACACAUGCCUAAGCCCGAGGGGUAAAUUUGGUCUGAUUAGGGCUGAAAUUAUGAACAUAAGCAGUACACCCAAACGCACGAAGGGGAAACUCAGAAAUUAGCUGCAUAGUAACUUAUGGGCUACUUGAAGGUUGUGCUAGGGGCAUUCAAGCUUUUGAGGAUUUCCAGUAUCCACUAAUUGAAAAAGUGUAAGAGUGGUUCAGCACAACAAGUCUUUCAAACACACCAACUUAUUUCAUGUCCUUUCUUAAAAUACAAAGUGGAGGGGCUAAGCUUUUCAUGAAACAAAGAUUUGAAAUUCUUGUGGCAUCAACAUGAAGGAGAUGGGAACAUUUAAUUCUUCAAUUUCACAAAUUUUAUUCAUUAAUUGAGAUUUGUAGACAUAUGAAGGAAAGUACGCCUCAGUCACCACAAGUUAAGAUCUAAUUUUGUUUCACAAAUCUUUAAAAAUUGUCCUGCAAUGUGUAGUUCUGAUUGGUAUUUAAAAGGCUUCAGGGGCUGUUAUUUCUGCAUUACCUUGAAGAUGUUUCACUUUUAUUUACACACACAUACAUGCAUAAACACACACACAUACAUAUAUAUACAACUGAAAAAAUACUAGUACCAGAAGCUGGCCCAGUGAUAAAACAAUCACUUUCAUUUUUACUAAACUAUAAAGCCCUGUCAACAAAAUUUCUGAAUCCACCACUGCUCACAAAGGACCAUGCGUCAAAAGACUCCCUAUGAACUCCUUUGAAGAUUCAACUAUUUGUCUCCUCCAAAUAUCUCACAAGUCACAACAAAGUGCACAGCCCAACGUGCUAUAAAAAAAACUUCAAAAAAAAAAAACUUUCUUAGUCAAAAAGAUGGAACAGCAGAAACUCGUAUAUCUUCAAGGACAGAGAGAAAUGUUUGAACAGGUUCCUUGAUUAUUUAUCUUCUUUGGCUCUCCUUGGUGUAAAUUUGUAAAAUUCCUGCCUGCUUUUGCAACUAUUUAUAGCCUAUCUUGUGUGUGUGCUUCAAUUUCCUUUGGAUAGGAAUGGUUUUCUCCCUACUUUUCUAAUUUCAUCUCAUCAAUGAAUUCUCACCUAAUAUACAUAUUCUUUCUCUAGUUCCACAAAAUCCAACAUGUUACUCAGUAUUUGUCCACACAUUGAUCUGUUUUAUGUAAAACAGUUACAACAUAUAUUGACCUAGUGAAUUUCUUACUUCUGUUGUAUCGCAGGUCUUCGCAUUGCAAGACAAAAUAAAAUUUGUUAGAAUUAAUAAAAGGGCAUAUACCUUGUUAGUCACAGCAACGGCAAUAACAUCUCCACUACCAUCUUCCUCAUCCGAAACAAUGCAAGGCUCAGUUCUGUUUCCAUUAAAAGUAAUAGUUUGAAUACAGCUACCAGUAUUCCUAUGAUAUAACUUCAGCUGACCACUACUUGCAACAACCACAUACGUAGAUAUCUCAGCAACAGAUUUUGGAAUAUCAUGAAACACGAGACUCCCACCCAUAGGUUGACCAUAAGCGUUAACAGUAAUCCCUACCCUAUCUACCAAUAGUAGCACUUUACACUCUUUCCGCAACAACUUAAGGCAUGGAGGACUGGAUAACUCUGGUAAUUUGAAUAUUAAACUACUCUCUCCUGUAACACAUGAAAAAAGAUAAUAGCCACUAGCUGUACCAACAAUUAUUGAAUCAUUGAGCCACACCAUUGUUGAAAAUCCUUCUUUACACUGUAACUCCUUCAAAAUUAGAAGGGACUCAAUGGGAUCAUUUGUAUUUCGAUCACUUCUGCCAGUUCGAUGACCCAAAACAACUUCAAAUAAAAUCAACCUUUUACCAACUAGAGCUGCAAAAACGAAAUCACUUUCUUCACGCGGCGAUUCUGAUUCCUUAAUUUUCAAGCCAUUUGUUCGCAUACCACUUCCUAGUCUCUGCAGAAGCCUUUGACUAGGGCUAACAAAUCCAGAAUUAUUAUCCACACUCCCAUACAGACUAGAAAACUCAGACUCGCUGCUCCUAAUUCGUUUCGCAAUCAAAGAAACUCCUUUCAAACCCGCCAACCUCUUCACUGGCAGUGAAAGAAGCGAAUCAACAAUAUACAAAAACCCAUCGGAACAAAGUACUAAAACCUUUCCAAUUCCACGGAGUACAUGCAAACAGACAAUUGAGGAAACGCUAACCGCAACAGUCCUCAGAAGUGAAAGUCCCUCCGAUGGAGAGGUAAUUCUGGGAGUAUCCAAGCUGGCAGUUUCGGAAUCUAGAGCGGUAGAACUUGAAUAUUUCGGAGUUACAGAGAACAAGACAAGUGCCCCAGAUUUAGUUCCGGCGUAUAUUAAGGUCUCGGAAUCAGAGACGGGGGAGACGGCGAGAGAUCUAAUUGAAGUGCGAAAAUGAGUGGAUAUAUCGAACUCCUCACCGAGUGGUUCAAGAACAGCCCUUUCGGGCUUGGCCAUUGGGUGGGUGAGAAGUAAAUUGAUCCCCCAGAUUGCUAAUUGAGAAACGCCAUCAAUGGAUGAAGAUGAAGAUGGAACGAAAGUAGCUUAACUGAACUGGUAAUGUAGUUUGAUCGGAACUUCGGGCGAUCUUUGGUCAGUAAAAUUGGCAAAAUUUCAUCUCGACUUUAAGGCCCCUUUCUAGAGAUUUAGGACAAACUGACUUUGAAUGAAAAGUCCAUUUUGUCCUUAAUGAAAUUGUACUUCACCCUAACCGCAAACAAAACUUAACAAAAUCAUUGGAUGAUUUUCUCCUUCAACGUAUCCGCGAACCCUUCUCCUUCAACAAGUCGGCAAAACGGUGAACGUCUGUAAUAUCAACAACCGUGAGAUAAUUUCCCAGUCCACGCAUUUUAAGUAAUCCAUCGUUUGUUCAUUUUCUUCUUGUUGUUUUUUCCAUCUCCGAUGACUUCCAUUUCAAACUCAUUUUUCCUUUCCACCUUUUUCAAGCUCUUUUUGUGACCUCCAUUUCAAACUUCUACAUACAAAAACCCAUCAUUUUCACCUACCAUUUUUCCCACCUCUCCAUCUCCAUCCCCCUCCCAUUGCAUUUUCUUUGUAGAUAAUAUGAACCACUAUUCUCUAUUUUCUUUAAUUUAUUUACAUUUCUCUUUUAUGUCUUUUACUUGAAUCAUGAGUGAUGUCUUGUCUUUUUGUUCAAUAGAUUUACGUCUUUUGAUCUCGCUAUUGGUAGUUCAUUACUAUGGGUUAUGUGAAGGAGAUUUUUAUUGUUUUGUAAUUUUUGUUUUCCAUGACUAUCUAAUUGUAAGGAAAUUGCAACAUAUUUUAAGGAUCUCUGCAUUAUCUCGCACACAUCAACAAAAUUCUAAACUUUCAUUUUGUUCCAAAAUUAAUUUUAUACCUCUCUUUCAGUCUUUUAAAUUGCUUUUAUGCAUGUUUAGGAAGUGUUUUAGGUACUUAUGUUUUAUCUCGGCACAAUAUUGCACACAUGUAGCACAUUUCAAACUUUUCCUUUCGAAAUCAAAUGUCUACAACUCUUAAGUCCUUUGAAGUUCUUUAACAUGCUUAUUUUUAGUUUUUAGCUAAUGUUUUUUAAUAUCACAAAUAAGUCAUACACUUGUUUUAUGUGAUAUGUCAACUUCUAAUCUUAAAUCAAUUUCUGCAAGAACUAAAAAGUUUAAGAUGGUUUAAGGAUGUCACAUAUGUUCGGAUUUUAGUGCAUUACAAUGGUGUAUGGGAUGCAUGAAGUAGACAUGUUAAAAGACAUUGUUGUCAGUAAAUAAAUAAGACAAAAAUUUACUAUGUGAUAACUUGUAGAAAUACAAGUUAUUAUUGUGAAACCCGAAAAUUUCUUAAACCUUUAAAACUUGCUAAGAUUAGUCAAGGACGAGAGAAAAUGAAAUUUGUGGGAAAAAAAGGUAAACAUAUUUGAAAUUUAAGUUUAGGUUUAAGAAAAAGAGAAAGAUUGGAAAUUUUAACUGUGUUAAAAUUAAGUCAUGAGGCGUUUAGAGGUUAGAAGUGGGCGACCAAAGGGGCUAUAUAACCUCUAAAUGUUGCUUGUUGGACGGCCAAGAGAAGGAAAAGAACCUCUAAAGAGGUUAGCUUCAAAGGCAUUUGGGACUUGUGUUAGACGGCAAGACAAAUACCAAGAAGGCCAUGUGUUGAAGUUAAGGCUUGGCGGCAAGCUUGAGAGGUCAGUUGGCGAGGAAGGGUGUCACGCGAGGAAGGCUUGUAGCCAAGCGUUGGGAGGUUGUCACGCGAGGAAGGCAUUUGCUAGGCGUUUGGCUAGGCAUAUCUAAGAGGUUAGCUAAGCGAUGAAGGCUAGGCGAGGAGAGGUUAUGUGGCCAAGGUUUUGCGAGAAGACCAAGGAGGUUAGUCAUGCGUUUGAAUCAAGUAUGUGGCACGAUUAGGGCAUUUAGUUAAAAGUAAAUUUUGGUGUUUUAACCAUGUUAUCAUGCAUUUUGCAACCAAGGAGGACUUGGAGGACAUGAUGAGGUGUAAGUAUACGGUUAAGAGGUGUCGCCUUAAUCUCAUGCAAGGGACUCUAUAAAUAGAUCAACUUCAAUAUUGAAUUUCUCACAACUUACUCAUGCAAAAUCACUCAAAUUGAUCUUGAAAGUUCAAAAAUUAAGUCUAGUUUGUGAGAGAGGGUUUCUAUGUAUUUUGGAUUCGAGGAAGUUUAUGUUUUGAUCAAGGAAAGGUGAGAAUGUCAUUUCUUGGGUGAAUUUGAGCAAGGUGCAUUUCAAGUGGGCUACAAGACUCAUCUGUUGGAAUUUGAUUCUGAAACUCUGAGGUAAGGAAGCCAACUCAUUUUAGAGAAACUUUGUAGAAGGAAGUUUUAUCAAAAGAGUUAUGGAUUUUAAGUUAUGAUUUUUCAAAUAUGGGUCAUGAUUCUGAAAGUUAAAUAGUGUUUGGGUAGUGGCUGUGAGUCAUGCAUGUAUGGGCGUGCGUUUUGGGACAUGUAGGCUAUUUUGGGUCAUGUUGUACGCACAUGACAAGGUCAUGGCAUAUCGAGCGACAAGGCACGUGCUCAGGUUGCACGCAUGACCAUAUCUUAAGAGGUUAGUGCAGCACAUGGUGUACGAGGAGGACUAACCUGCGCGCCAUGCAUGCGAAGGCACUAGAUACGUGAAACCCCCUUGCAAGGUUAGCACGUGAUGUGCACCCCCCACCUCAAUGAGGUUAACACGAGACAAACCCCAGGCCAUGCAUGCGCGACUAGCCCCUACACCAUGUCAAUGGGCUCCAUGGGCUAUUUUCGAGCUGUUGGACCGUCUUGAUAUUUUUUGAAUUUUUUUUAAAUGAACUUUUGGAACUUUUGGAUAUUUUCAUUUUCAAGGAAUUAAUUAAGAAUAAAAUACAUUAUUGAACAAAGUAAUGACAUACCACAAGCAUAGUAACUACAAACUCUAAGCAUACAUACAUUAUUAAGCAAAAUAAUGAUAUACCAAACAUUUAUCACAAUCAUUACUUACCUACCCAUCUACCCUCACAAUCAUGUCUAAUAUAUGUUGAAAUUGUAUCAUCAAUCUCGUUAGAUGUAUCAUCAUUGGGCAUCAUUUGAAUGACUCCAUAAUCACACUCUUGAAACAUAUCUCAUAUUUCAUUUUUAUAGAAAUCUUCUUUAAUAGUUCUUUGUGGAGAUGAAAGUCACUAACCAUUCAGGAUUUGAAGAAUCUUUGAGAUAGAAUACUUGUUUUGCUUGGGAGGCUAAAAUAAAUGGAUCUUAUUUAUGCCCAAUAUGUUUUAGAUCUACAGUGGCAAACUCCACUUUGAUUCCAUUUCUAUUAUCAAUCCAAUCACACUUCAAUAAAAUAAAAGCUAAAUGAUGGUAAUCAAUCGUCAAUAUUUUUUGUUUUAUGCCAUAAAAGGUCAUAUCUGACAUGACAAUGUUUUUGUCUUUAGAAGUAAAGACUUGUAUGGUAGUGGCUGUUAUACUAACUCCACUAUUUUAAACUCUUCUAAAAUCAUCACGCCUUUUUGUGUGAUAGUAAUAACCAUUAAUCAUGUAACCACAAUAAGUGGCCACAUCUGGAGAUUGUCUUAUCCAUCUUAAAGAAGGGGGUGAUGGAGUUUUUGGAUUUGGUUAGUUAGUUUUAAACAUAGAUUAGAGAGUAUGAUUCGUGUGGACAACCCCUGACUGAAUAUGCGAUUAUGCUCUUCUUUAAUCGAUUUUUACUUCUAGCUUUACCAAAGUUCAACUUACACAAACUAUCCAUAUGUUAUCCGUCAUAAAUGACAAAUUAUUAGGUAAUUAAGCAACCAACUUACAUAGUAUGAAAAUAGAUAGAGUUUAGCACAUACUCGAUGUAUGGUAAUACAUCAUUUACAUUUUGAAUAACAUAAAGAUGAGCUUUAUCUAACUACUCUCUACUCGAUCUAAUAAAAGAAGAAACUAACAAUGCUCUAUCCAUGAAAUGCACUGUAGGUGUAUCAUUGUAGUGAAAAUGAUGGUGGAAAAUACUUCUCUAAUAGGCAUAAAGUGACUACUACUACAUCUUUAUGCAUUCCUUUUAAGUGCGAUGAAUCAAUUGCCUUGUACAUAUAGCAUGUUUGAGUAAAAUACCAUGAAUUGCCACGGGUAACAAUUGUUGCAUAAGAACGUGAUGGUCAUGCGACUUGAUUAAGUCCGUAAACUUUCAAAUAUAUGAGUGACACUAAACUUUGAAUGUUCGAUAAAUAGUCUUCAUGUACUUUUAACUCUGAUUAGUGUCUUAUAAAAACUCAACUUCUCCAUUUGAGAUAAUGUAUAACAUGCUAAAGGUAAAAUAAUCUUUUUCUCUCCUACGUAAGGGGCUUACUCUGAUCUAAUGUUCAGUUCCACCAAAUCUAAUCAAAUUUUUAUUCCAUCUGUUUUUUACUAGGAAUAUGAAGCAACGUGCCAAUGAGAUUUGUACACACAUUCUUUUCAAUGUACAAUACGUCUAAAUAAUGUUGUACAUCAAGAUGCUUUCAAUAUUCUAACAAAAAAAUGGAUUUUUUCUUCUAAUAAGUUCCCAAGGAACUCACUUCACUGUUCUUUUCUUUGAUAGCUUUCUUACAAAAUGAAUGUUUGUACAAAAAUUUCUUCCCAACUCAUUGGUUCUAGAGCACAUUCUAAUUCUUGUGCAUCAUUAUAAACUUUAUUUUGUUUCCUAUAUGGAUGAUGAUGUGGUAGAAACGUGUGAUUCUCAAUAUAUGCUAUCUUUCUUCCUUUUGGUAAAUAAAUGGAUGAAGUUUUCUGCCCAUAAAUUGGACAUGCAUGAUAUCCUUCGACCGUACAACUACACAAGUUGCCAUACCUAGGAAAAUCAAUAAUGUUGCAUAAUAAAAUAGCUUUGAGCGUGAAACAUUGAUCUUGAUAUGUAUUAUAUCAUUCCACCCCAUCAUGCCAAUGUUUUUUCAAAUCAUCUACUAACAAAGUUAAAUAAAUAUCUCUUUCAUUUUUCAAUUGUUUGGGACUAGAUAUUAGGGCAGUCAACAUAAAUUUUUUUUGCUUCAUACACAACCAUGGAGGUAGAUUAUAUGUCACUAACAUAACUAGCGAAUAACUAUAAUACUACUAAGAUCUCCUGCGGAUUGACCACAUAUAUGGAAAGAGCAACAUGUAGAUUUCUAGGUUUUAACGCAAACUCUGGCUAUAAAUUGUCUACUUUUUUCCACAAUAAUGCAUCUUUUAGAUGUUGUAAUAAACCAUUUGCAUCUCUUUUUCUUGUAUGCCACGUCAAUAAUCUUAACAAUUCUUUACUUUGAAACAUUCUUUCAAAUAUUGGAAUUGAGGAGAAAUACCACAUGACUUUCACUAUAAUAUACUUAACCUCAUUCUUUGAAUUUUCAGAAAUCUUCCAUCUCAACAUACCUUAAGAGGGCCAUAGAUUUGCACGAGAGAGCUUUUUCCUAAAAUACCAAUAAUCAUUCCUACAUGCAUGAAUCUUCUCGUACUUCAUCCCAAGAGUACACAAAACUUUUUUCGCUACAUAAGUAGAAGUAGGGAUCUCAUUACAAAAAGGUAAGAUGUCACAAAUUGAUUCUAACAUCUCGGUGAAACUUUUAUCACUCUAUCAAAAUUUAACUUUCAUAUUAUAUACCUUUAUCAAUGAAGAUAUUUUGGUAAAAUUUUUUAAUUUAGGAUAUAAUUGAGGAUUACAAUUAGUAAAGAGAAGUCAGAUGAGCAUUCCAGAAGUGGUUAGUGAGUUUUUCUUACCGCUUACAUGUUUUAAAGUUGGACACAUUAAAUAAAAAUUGAGUCAACACCUUGCGUUGGCAAACUAUGAAAUCAUCGCUUGCAUGCUUUAAAACCAAAAUGUUAAGUUUAGAAUGUUUGUUUUAUUAUAAAAUCUUCGCACCCAAAAGAUUUCUAACAAACUACCGCGUGCUUUUGUUGUUUGGGUAAAUCUAAAACGCUAUUUUUAAGUUUUAUUUGAAAUGUUAACUUAAUUUCAAUUGAGAGACAAGGGCUAUAUAAAAAGGAGUCGAUAGAAGAGGAUGGGUAGAGACACAACAAAAAUGAUGUCUAUUACCUUUAAUGUGUUUUUUGGAGCCUGUGCUCUCAUACUCCUUGUAUUGCACUUUGAAACAUACCAAAUAGAUGCUAGGAGUUUUUCUGUCAUCAGUGAAGGCAACUAUGUUGUAGAAAACCAAUUGACGGACCACGUUACUGAGCACCUAAAGAGGCAUAUCCGUUUCUCAUGGCUGAAACCCAAGAGAGUACCUGACUUAGCCCCACCUUUUAACCUAGGAAUACUAACCAAAGACGUGCUUACUCCUCUAUCAGAAAAUGAGUUGGGGGACAACAUUGUAAAGCAUCCAAAACACCAUAUUCGCUUCACUUGGUUUUGGCCGAGACCCAAGAGAGUGCCUGACUUAGCCCCACCUUUCAGCUUGGGAAUAAUGUCGAACCACUUGCGUACUCCUCCUUUAGAAAAUGAAUUGGGGCGCAGCAUCACAAAGCAUCCAAAGAGGCAUAUUCGUUUCUCAUGGCUAAAGCCCAAGAGAGUACCUGACUUGGCUCCACCAUUUAGUUUGGGAAUACUAUUGAAAGAUGUACGUACUCCUCCAUCUGGGUCGAGUCAAAGAACUUCGAACAACCUAUCUCCCCCAUCGCAUGCCCUACCCAUCCUUUUACAUAAGGAAUCUAGGAUCAAGUUUGGAAUCUUGCCAAAAAGCGUGCGUGUUCCUCCGUCUGGGCCAAGUGUGAGAACCUAAGACUAUCCACCACCUCCACCGCGUGCUCUUUCUGUUAUUCGAAAGAAAGAGUCCAAGUUUAAUUUUAGGGUUCAUGCUAGAGCACCUACUCCGCCAUCUACUUCAACAUAAUAUGUAACAUUAUGAGCAACUCACCAACCCUAGCAUUCUCUGCAAUCCCCUUCAAUUCAGAGUCAUUGUUAUUACUUUUAGAUUACACGUGGCAUGACUAUAUUUUGUGCUCAUUGUACCUGUUAUAUAUGCUUCAAAUAAUUCCUAAUUAUGUCCAAGACGGUGUGCCCAAAAUAACUACUAUGUCAUAAUUUAUUUGUCACAGAGAAUCAGAUAAAUGAUUGUAUCACAUCGUCAUUAUUAAAUUUCAUUGCCUUUGAAUCUUUGUUGUUUUUCUAAUAAAUCAUUUUCGAACUAUUAUUCAUAAGUGGAAUACGUUAGUAGUUAGUUUUGCUUAAAGAUAUUGAUAUCCUACCAACAUUUGCUAAUUUCUAAAUAUUUAUUAUGUAGAGUCGAUGGUAAAACUAGGAAAUUAGUGUGAGUUGUUGGGAAAAAUAAUUCCUCUCCAUGUGUUAAGAAUAAUAUAAUGAUAACAAUACUAAAUUACAUGAGAGUACGUACAGUUCAAGUUUCAUUAUAGCGAAUCGAGUCAAAGUAUCGGUUAUUGGCUUGGCUUGUUAAUUGGUUAAACAGUGUGGACACCGAUGACUUAUUUUCUCUCGAGAAUCUUGCAUACGAAGUUGAAUUAGGCUAAAAUAGUCGUAAAGAAUGUAUCUCAGUUGGGUCAAGAGGUUCCUUAAGAGGUAGCAAAGCCCCUAACGCGAAACGACGUUGUAGUACGCGAUGAAGCAGAACCCUCUCAACUGCCACCUCAGUACUAAACUUCGAAGUGGCUUGUGUAUUUUGGGUCUUACUUUUUAAAUUAUUAUUUCUUGACUUAUGGAAUUGUUAUUUCUUUGUACUUAUGCUCUUUGAAAUGAAAAAUACAACUUUUCAUAUAAUUCCUUUGCCUUUAUUCUUUCUUGUUGCAAGCUUGGCUCCCUUCUUUUUAGUGCACUAGUUUUUCUUCGAGAUUGAAUGACACUUCAAUGAAAUAAAUAAUGUGAAAUAAAAUUUCAUUUGUUAUUUAGGCGUUUAACUUGUUAAGGAACCUUACUUAGUAAAACUUUCUAGAGUCUAUUAGGCGAGCAUGCUUUACUUCAAACCACUUUUGUAAAAAAUUUCUUCGAAUAAUCUUAUCAUUCACUUUUAGCAAUAAGGACAUUGCUAACCUCUAAAUUUGGGGGUGUGUGAGGUUCGCGCUAAAGCAUUUGAAAGUUUUUGGAAACCCUCUUACAACGUUAAAAAACAAGGUGUUUUAACAAAAGUUGAAACAAAACAAAAAAUGUGAAAAUCUUAAAAUUUUUGUAUUAUAUCUUAAUAACAACUCCUAUGUUGCCUCCUCUCACAAAAAUAAGAAGUAAAGCUUCAAAAGUGGAAAUCAGAGGGUGAGUAACAAGAGGCAACAAGAGUUACAGUUGAGGAGAGAAACAGACUCAUAGAGUGCCUAUGAUAUUGACCAGUACCCGUCUGCCCCUCUAUGAGUUUGUUUCUCUCUUCAACUGUGGCUCUUAUAUAUCUAACAGUACCAACCACUAGAAUUAUGGGUUAUGAUAUCUAACAGUACCUGCCCCUCUAUAAUUUUGUUUCUCUCCUCAGACAGGUGGCUCUAAUCUAAUAGUACCUAAUAAUAGUAUCUAACAGUACCUAACAAUCUCUUGGUGGUUCUUCAAUUGAAUGCUUAUUCUUCCUAUCUCCUUUGGUUUGUAGAUCAAAGUCUCAAACUUCCUUGUGCCAGACACGACAUUAACUUCACAAAUGUCUUUAAGGUCUUUAUCUUCACAAAAUUCUCUAGAGCUAAAUAAUUUGGUAAACAAUUGUUCCUCGCAAUUUUCAACAUCAAAGGGGAACUUCAUCGUGUUAACCACAUUGAAAGUGACUUAUUGGUCAUCAAGACGCAUAGUCAAUUCUCAUUGGUGGACGUCUAUAAAGGCAUAGUUUGUUGACAGAAAUGGCCACUCCAAAAUGAUUAAAACCUCGCAAUCAACUUCGUAAUCAGAAAUGACAAAGUCUGCAUGGAAUAAAAACCUAUCCACGCUAACUAGCACAUCUUUAAUCUUGCCUUCAAGUCACGCAAUGGAUCUAUCAGCAAACUAAAGCACCAUUUGUGUAGGUUGAACCUUCCCUAUCCCUAAUUUCUUGAAGAUAGAGAGGGACAUCAAGUUGAUACUUGCUCCUCGGUCACAUAGUGCACGACCAAAAUCCAUAUUGCCUAUUAAACAUGGUACAGUGAAGCUUCCCUGGUCUACCAUUUUCUCUGGUACACUAUUCUUGAAGACGUCGCUUGUUGCCUGUAUUAGAGCUACAAUCUCAUAAUCAUUUAUCUUUUGUUUCUUCGCCCAAAUAUCUUUCAAGAACUUAACAUAUGAAGGAAUUUACUCUAAUACAUCAACAAAUGGGAAGUUCAUGUGAAGUUGCUUCAAGAUGUCAAAAAAAAUUUGAAACUGUUUUUCAUUGCCUUUCUUCUUGAAAUGGAGAAGGAGGUGGUGGUAUAGGAUUGAAGCUUAAGGCCUGGUUAGAUGUUUCGUCGCGUUCCACAUUUGGCCUAGUGCUCUACACUUCCUUGUUUUUUGUAUGUCCUUAUUCUACAAGGAAGAAGCGUUAUCAGUUAAACAGAUAACGAAAGGAUUAGAAACAUUAAUUGGAGUGUUAUUCUUGGUGUUAGGACUAGAAAUGGAGUUUUAACUUGUUCACACACUAUAAGUUAAAAUGUGCAAUUCAACUGAAACAAAACUUCUACACAAGAUCAGUGCAUAGAUUAAAAUCAAAUAGUAAAAUCACUAAUUCCUUAACAAUGGCGCCAAAAACUUGCUUCUUCAUGCAACAUUCAUUCGUAGAUAUGUCAUAUUAGGCUCUAAGUGAGUGAAUUAAUAGGUGACUAGGAUAGGAUUAUGUAAUAAAUAAACAUUUUCUACCUAUGCAUUGUUGAUUUCCUAAUGAUAUGCGUGUAUGAUAGUGUAUAAAUACCCAUUAUUAUAGCUUCUUUAUUAGAAUAAUGAGGCCAAACGCAUAAGAAGAGGAUCAAAAUGCGUAACUUAUAUUGUAAAUUCAUAAGUAUUUAGAAAUACAUCUUACAUAAGCAUCAUGCUUGUUUUACUCAAUUACAAUGUCUAAACAUAAGAUAAAUAGCAAUGAAGAAGCUAGUGAAUCGCAGGAGACAUCUCGCGCAGAGGCCACGCGAUGGAAACUUGCCUGGCGAAUAACAUUUCCAGACGAGGAACCACGUCAUCAUGCGAGGAAGACUCAUUAGAGGACAAGAAUGGUAGUUGGAGUUUAUAUGACUUCAUAAGGCUGCAAUCGACACUAACAAUCUCAAAAGAAUAAAAGUUUCUUGCCAAAAGCUACCUAUAAAAAGACUUAAUCCCCACCAAGAGCAAGGGGGCCUUCAUGGGCCAGCUGGACGCUUGUAUAGGACAAAGGUCCGAAUAGGUCAAUACCUAGAGAGAGUGGCAAAAUGGAGUAGCCUUUCCACCAUCUAUAAAUGCCUUCUUCUCCGAUCAAUUGUAAAAGCGAGAGCUUAGCUCCUGAAAUGGGAAGAAUCCAUACUUUCUUUGUCCCAUAACUUGUAAUAUUUUUUUCACUAACUUUUCUCUCCAUUUUGUACUUCUUUGUAAUAUAUGUUGUUCACAUUGCACAAUGGCCUACAACCUACAUUCUUUAUAUAUUACAUGUUUAUACCUUUUUAAUCCAUCAUUUUUUGACUUCUCACUUGUCAAUGUGUUACUAGUAGUUAGGUUUGUGAUAAGUUCUUGAUAAGAAGUUUAGCUUAAUCGCAUUAGUUGAGUUAAAUUCAUCGCAAGGCCAGUGUCAAUCGCCAACUACUCGAGAGGGCAGGUAGCAAGGAUAAGGCUAAUGCGCACAAGGAGAAAUUUGACAACACAAUCAACCUUGGCGAGAUAACUUUUAAUAUUUGUAUCUCGAAAGUCGAACAAGUAUGGACAUAAGGCACCGAGAGGUUGUUGUCCUUAAUUGCAAAGGUCUAUAAGUAUUAUAAGUGAAGUCUUCUAUAUAUAUCUUGCUUAAUCAAGCAUAGUCAUUUGCAUCCCGAAAGGUGAGCAAGUGUGACGUCUAAACACUUCAAGAGAAGGUCACCUUAAUCAUGAGCUGAUUACGCAAGUUAUAUCGCAUCAAAGCUCUUGCAUUGCUUAAUCACCUAAUAAUGUGUAGACCUUCCUUCACCUUUUUCUCGCAUACAAGUUAGUCUGCAAUUCCAUCUUUCACCCAUUCAUUUCUAUACAUUCUCUCAACGUGCAUAAGUAGUUUUAUUCCUGAUUCUGAUUCUUUAUUUCAUUAAUUCUUUUAUACUGCCUAGAUGAUAAGUAAUGUCUGAAACUAAUGUCUUGAAUCAAUUCUCUGUUUUUGACCCUAGAUCAUCCAAGUAAACCUACUGUUUCGCUUACACUUGGGCAGACAAUAGAAAAACUUGUACUCAACAAGGACGUAGCUAUUACGUGAUAAAGAGAUAUAUAGUGAGCAUCUCGCAUGCUAUGAUCAUGACCCAUGACUUACCGCAUAGAAUUAAUCACGCAAUACAUAAAUAUAUAGUGAGCGCCUUACGUGCAAUGAUCUUGCUUCGUGACAUAUUGCGUAGAUUAGAAUUGCAUCAUAUGAGUGUGAAACUAUAAGUCCAAACCAAAGGGACAUCCAACAACAACAAAUCCCAGUCCAAUGUUGUUCAAGUUUUCUUCUCUAUUGUCCAAGUGUAAUCGAAGAGAGGUUUUUUGGUAAGUCCAGAGUCGAACUCAAGGAAUUGGUGUUCUUAGAUGAAUGUAUCGUGCAACUAAUUUAUGCAAUAUAGUCUAUAUAGUGUAAUUUAUGCACAAUUAUUUAUCUUAACUAUAUACACUAAAGUGCUAUUGAUGGUGCAAUAUGAACAUAGUGAUGAAGUGUAAGCUCAUGUAACAGGCAUGACAUGAAGGAAUAUUUAACUCAUUAGUCGCAAUGUACUAUGCAUUAAUAUUUCAAGACGAUACAAAGCAUCUAUUAACUUCAGAAUUAAGAUGACCGUCCUCUUGAAGCCUUCACCUUACUUGCUCACCUCUCGAGAUCCAAAUACUUAAAGUUAAGCUAUGAUUUGUAUAUAAUCAGUUUUUAUGCAUUACAAGCAAUUUAUCCUAAUUUCAGGCGAGUAUCAUUUUGUUGCUUUCACCGCACACGUUAGCAAUUUUAUAACUUAUGCAAAUGACUAAUUCGACGAUGAGAUUGUAUUGCUACAAUCCCUUCAUCAUUCACUUAGUCAUUUAUGGGUUUUCACUUGUCAGGUGAUUACUGUCAAUGCAAUUGUUUUUCUCUAAAACAAGUAUUUGAUGUCCGCGUUUAGCUAAACAAAACACACAUCCAAAUUCUCUAAUAUUAAUAACACAUUACAUUGUUCAUAAACUAAUUAAAUGCAUUGAAGAUGAAUAGCAAAAGAGAAAUGGGAGAAUGGUAGAAGAAAUGCAUUAAUAUUAUAAAUAGAACUUUAGGUCUUUUGGCCUAGAGUUGAUAUUACAACUUAAUACAUAAAAAUUACAAAAUUGAAUAUAAAGAAAUAAGUUGAGCCUCAAAAUAUGAUUUCUCAUAUUCUUUGGCUCUGUUACCUGUUGUGAUGAGGGGAAAUGCUAGAGCAAAUCUCUCUCUUGUUAGACCUAAAACUUUAAGAGAAAAAGGAUGAAGGGAAGAAUGAGCUUGCUCUUGGUUCUAAUUUUGCACACUUUUUUCUAAAGUAGACGCCUAUAUUUAUAAGCAAGGAGUGAUGUUGACAGGACAUUCAUGCUUAACUAAUUCUUCUGAUAAAGCUGCAUCCAUGUCGUGCAAACAUUCUUUUGUCAUUUUUCUAAAAUUCACUUCAACUAACUUUGUUUGCUAGUGAAUCAGAUCGCCUAGCUUGUUGUGAUCAUCGUCUUGUUGGUUGCAUGCGUCUCCUUGCUUGACGUUUUAUCGCCAAGCUCUACUUCUUUUUGCCUAAAAUCUUGCGUUAAAACAAGUGAAGCGUGAUAAAUUGGGAUAAGUUCUUUUGUAUUUUGCGAUACACAAGUUAAUCAAUUCUACUUUUCCCUAUGUUUUCUUACAAUCUUAUGCCAUAAGGUUUCAUUAUUUUAUAUAAAAAGGCUAUAAUAACAUUUUCAAUGCAUUUAAUUAGUUCUAAACAAUGUAAUGUGUUAUAGAUAUUAUAGAAUCUAGAUGUAUGUCUUGCAAGUCUUGGUUAGCUAAAUGCAAAAGUCAACCCUUGUUUCUUCGAGAGAAAAUACAAUUGCAUUGAUAGUAAUCAACUGACAAGUGAGAACCCAUAUUUGACUAAGUGAGCAACGAAGAGAUUGUAGCAAUGCAAUCUCAUUGUCAAAUUCAUCCUUUGCAUAAGUUGCAUAAAUUUUAACGUGUGCGGCGAAAGCAUCAAAAGGAUGCUCACCAUAAAUUAGGAUAAAUUACUUUUGAUGCAUAUAAACUUAUUAGACACACAUCAUAGCUUAACUUCAAGUAUUUGAAUCCCAAAAAGUGAGUAAGUAUGGCGAAGGCACCGAGAGGAUGCUCCCUUUAAUUCGGAAGUUAAUAUAUGUUAUUUAUCACCUCAAAAUAUUAAUUCACAAUACAUUGCGAUUAGUUCAUUAAAUAUUUCUUCAUGUCAUGCCUGCUACAUGAGCUCACACUCCAUUACCAUGAUCAUCUUGCACAACCAAUUGAACCUUAGUGUAUAUAAUUAGGAUAAAAAUACUAUGCAUACUUAUAUUGUAUAGAGUAUAUCGCAUAGGAUUAGCUUCAUGAUAGAUUUAGUCAUAACACUAAUUUUCCAAAUUCAGCUUUGGACUUACCAAAAAACAUCUCUUUACUUACACUUGGGCAACAGAGAGGAAAACUUGUACUACACGCAUAUCAUUAAGAAAUCAGGAACGUAUAGGUAGGAAGUGCAUCUUUUAUCGCAUCAACCUAUUUUAGUCGUCCAUUAAGUCGCUCACUUAGAGCUUAACAUGACACAUUUACGUAUGAACAUUGCAAAAAUAGAAAAGCAGCAGGUGACACAAAACAAAUGAGCGACAAGUGACAGACGAAAGAUGGGCGCACGGACGAAAGUUUUUGGAUUGAAAAAUCUGAUUUAAUUUUAUAGACAUUGAGUUUCGAAGCUACAACCUUAGGGUGGGGUGUGUGGGCUGAAGGUGACACGUGUCACCAUAAGUUCGUAGUAUUUACAAAAAUGUCAGUCGCGAAAAUGAUGAGGAAUUCGUUUCACAGGCAUUGAGAUUCGAACAUGCUGACGUGGGAUUAAAAAAUGCAUAAAUAAUUUGUACGGUUGAGGUUCAAACUCAUGACCUUGAUACAAAUUGCGUACAACACGUGGCAGCAUACGCGAUCUUUCAAAAUUUCUUCCAUUUAAUUACCAUUUCACCCUCAAACUUCAUUUUUCUUGUUUUCCUUUGUUCAUACUCCGUUGAAGGUCAUUUUUAUUGCUUUGAGUUAGUCAUGGAGCCUAGUUUCAUAAUCUACAUUAAAAUAUAAAGAAAAUGAAUAUAUGCAUGCUAAGGUAAAGAAAUAAGCUAUAUAAAAUUGGGUCUUUUUGCCCCAACUAACUCUUUCAAAAUUAGGAUCCAACCCUCAGCGUUCAAGGUGUUAAGGAGUAUAAUUACUCAUUAGUUACAAGGAAAUACAAUAUAAAAGAGCAUAACUUGUUUAGCUUCCACACGUAACAACUCAUCUUAUCCUUUUUUUUUAGCCUCACAACACCUGAAUACCUAAGGAAGGGGUAACUCAACACGUAAAUCAAAUACUUAGUGAGUGAAAAUUUUAGAAAACCUUUUUGGAAAAUACAAUACAAACACAUAAAUCUAUUUUCAUCUCAUAAACACAAACUCACAAUCUAUCUGUGAUAGACCAAACUUGUUGUGUUAUAUGUAUGUGUAUGUAGAUGUAAUGUAUGCGUGGAGUGACUGUGUUGACUAUAUGCAAUUAUGAUGAUCAUGCGAUAGAAGUUCUCCUAACUAAUCUAAGUGUAAAUUAAACUAGGGCCUAGGGAGUCUAGGGUCGAACGCACCAAAAACUUUUGGUAUUGAAUGUGAGCUUAACUGUUACUCUCUUAUUAAGGAACUUAGUAUUGAAAGUAAUGAGAUUGAUGAUUAAUGGUUCUAUGCUAUGUUGCCAAUUGUUAAGCGAUGGUUGAAAUAAAAUUGACCUAAAACUAUAUAUAAUUGAUUACAAGUAUGCGAUAGAAUAGGGUCAAGAUGUUUCAUCAAUCUUGAAUGAAUGUAGACAUUACUUAUGCGCUUAUAGAUGCAAAUGCAGUAUGAAAUGCUUUUGCCCUAGUUCUUCCUCCCCUAUGUGUUCCUUCUUAGAGGUAUUUAUGAACUUCCGACACUCUCAACACCCAUUAUGCACACUUCAUAUUUUUUAAUGCCUACUUUUAUGCUACAUGAGUCUCAUCCGUGUUCCGAAAGUCACGUGACACAUAGGGUUAUAAUGCUUCAUAAUUAAUGUAGUGGCCUGUAAUACGUUGUGAACACCUUUCACUUCCUUGUUGUGUGUCAAACUUAUUAACAUCUCUUCAUCGCAUUCCUUCUAAACAUUCAUUAAUAAUCCUUCACAUUGAUGUUGACAUGAAUGUUCCAUGUUCUAACAAAAUCCCACAAAGAAAAGUACUUCAAGGUCAUAAUAUCCAAGAAUCUAACACAUUGUAAACAUGUAAAUGCAUUGUAGACAAAUUACAGAAUUUAUAGGUAUCCUUGACGUGCUUCCUAAUCAUUUUUCACUAUUUAUCUUGAAUAAAUAGGACUCUAACUUGUAUUUCUACAAGUUAUUAACUACUAUAUAUAUCUAUCAUGAUCUAUGUCUAACACGAUUCAUCGUAGAUAAACAAUGAUAUUUUGUUAUAGUUUAUAAAUAUUUUAGUUCACUUUGCUAAAUUUAAAAAAUAGGUAUUUUAUUUGAAUAUAUAAAUUGAAAAGGGAAAUUGCAUCAAAUGAGAAAAAAAAUUUAAAAAACCACUCAACACCUUUUUUUUUUUAAUAAUGCAUGAUAAAUAUAACAAGUAAUUAGAUAUAUCAAACAACUAUCAAAAGAUUAUCCACUUUUACAUUUGCUACUUUUGGAAUUUAGAAAAUACGAUAACAUGGACCAUAUUAUUAUAAAAGUUUUUGCUAUUUUUACAAACUUCCCAAUUCUAAAUCAAGGUAACUAUCGAGGAUUGAGUAUAGUUCACCCAUGCAUCAGGCAUCAAGUCAAGUAUUAGUGAGUAACCAAAUAAAAUAAAAUUAAUUGGUAGUUGUAAAACGUGUGAUGAGGAAACGUGAGUCAAGCAAUGUGCAUUGAGUAUUGAAUGGCCUCUGCUAAGUGUUAACGGUUUGAGAUGGCAAAUUGCCAACUUUUCACGGUGCUAACCCAAGCGAAAAUUCACUUUUCAUUCACUUGUAAGAAAUGAGUUAUUUUUCAUUUGGACCCAUCAGUAAAAAAAAAAAAAAAAGGUUAAUAUAACUUAACGUAUACCAACAGCACAAAAUUCAUUUAUUGUGAUCAAAUCAAUUCAGACCUUUCCCUAUGUGUAACCUAACAUCCUAAUCUUAUUUUGAAACAAUUGUGUUGUACAGCAACAAUGGAUAAACUCGUAGAAGACAAGAAGGUAAGCAGCUGGUGGUCCUUAAGCUAGGGUUGCCCUCUUGCCCUUUGCAUCCCUAGUCUGAAAGACAAACCAUAUUGUAAAUUAAAAUGACCAAUUGGAUUGGAUGAUUUAUUCUGCUAAAGAGGAGUAGAUGUUAAACAUGAAAAUGAAAUUAUAAUAAAGCCACCAAUCAAAAGGGGGAAUAUCAAAUCAAACUUUGCUAUCUACCGUCAACAAUAAUAACACAUUGGUUUAAAAUAGUAUAUUGUAAUUUUGGAUUUGGUUUAUCGUGGUCUUUUUUGCGUUUAAAUCUAGUUCAUUUUGAUCCCUACGCUUUCAAAAUGUUCAUUUUGGACUUUGUAUUUUCAUAGUUGGUUCAGUUUUUAUCUAAAAGGUAACCAUUUUCAUCACUUAAAAGAACGAAAUAAAAGUGAGAUUGGCAGGAUUAGAAUUGGCCGUUUGGAAAGCACAAGAACCAAAAUAAACAUUUUAAGUACAUAGAUCAAAAUAAACCAAAGUUAAAAGCACAACCAUAGAAAAAGUCAAAACUACAUCAACCAAAAUAAUAUUUAAACCUAAUACUUUAUUGUGACGCUUUAAAUUUAUAAGCAGAAAGCAAAAAAAGAAAAAAGUGGUAGGUACCUGCGCAGAGACAGAUUUUUUGGCAUCGAGGAACUGUCUAUAAAUACCGUACAGUCUUUGCUUCUCAGUCUCUGAAACUGAUGGUCGUGCUUUGCCAGCAGUUGCCUUCAAAAGAUCAUUAGUAAUGAUAGGCUUUUGAGCCGGUUCAUUAGCGUUUAUGCUAUCGAGAUGCUCAUGAACUGCUGCAAGUUGAGCAUCUGAGAGUAGAGCUUGAAGGUCAGCUCCACUGAAUCCUUCUGUCAUAUAUGCGAUUGGCUCCAAAUCUAUAUCAUUGGCCAAUGGCAGCUGUAGUAUGUCGAAUCCAUCCAUCCUUAUUAGAUACCAUUAAACUCUUAAAUUCAUUUAUUUCCUAAACUAAUGCAAUUAAACUGCAAAUUGACGCAUUUGCCUUCUUCACCAAGGUAAUUCACACGUCAUGAAAAAAGAACAAAAAAUAAGGAAUUCCUCAGGUCCAAUAUUAUUCUAUCCUGGGGCUCUUGGAAAAAUUAUAAUCCUCAAUGAAAAAUGUAGAGUUACGAUGAAUACAAAUAUAUUCUACAGCAGUAACUUAGCCAUUCUAGUUAGUUCAAGAACUUGUGUUUUAUCUAAAACUUCCCCACAAGUCUUGCUAUCGUGUAUAAAUAUCCACACAAAAUUAAAUAUGCUUAGCACUCCAUGAGAAUGUGUAUUUAUAAGUAAAUACUUCAUUCGCACAGUGGUCACAGAAUGUGUAUUUAUAUCAAUGUUUAUCAAAUUUUCUAAUCUAAACUGCAAAAAUCAUCCUUAAACAGAAUGAAUAAGAAAACAGGACAAUAGUGAGAUAUUCUGAUGUCAGUCCUGCCACACAUUAUAAUUGACACCUUAAAAGAAAAGAAACAAAAAUUUGGCUUUUUCAUUGAUAUAAAAACAUGCAAACUUUUCGGUCUAAUUGACAUUUGUCAUCGUUGAUCCAUAAUCCUCAACAGCAGAACAGUUAGCAAACAUAAUUAGAUAAUUAAAGUUUAGAGAUACCAACCUUUGACGAAAGAACUUGAAGAAUAUUUAGCCGUUCCACUGGAGAGGGGAAAUCACAAAACAGAAGGCGAUCCAAUCUGCCAGGUCUUAGAAGUGCGGCAUCAAGCAAAUCUGGUCUACUGCUUAAGAUGAAAAAUAAAAUGCAAUUUUAAAGGAAAAUUAGAAGCCCGGGAAUGGGGGAGCUGAAAACUAGUCAAUUAUUGAGCAAUGAGCAUAAUGGAAUAACAUCAACAAUAAUAAAAAAUGUAUGAUUGAAAGUGAAACUAAGUAAUCACCAAAUAAGUACGAUUACUUUUAGCUAUUGAUCAUUGUUGUCGUUGGCCACUAUUUGGUUUAAAUGCAAAAAUGCUAACCUCGUUGCAGCAAAAACAAAUACACCGGUUAGAACUUCAACACCAUCCAAUUCAGUUAGAAACUGCAAGUAGGAAAAUAGAAUACUUAACAAAAUUGAAUCCACAUGCAAUCAAGGUUUCGUAAAUAGGAUACCCACUUGAUUGACUACACGAUCAGUCACUCCAGUAUUAUCGUGCCCUCUCUUUGGAGCAAUUGAAUCAAACUCAUCAAAGAAAAGAAUGCAAGGUGAUGCUGCAGUUGCUUUAGAGAAAAUAUCCCGAACCUGAAACCAAUAAUUGAGUUUCUGAGCAACUAAGGUCCAUCAUAUCUGAUCUUCCAAGGUACCCAUUAAAAGAAAUUAGAGGCAAAAGUAUCUGAGCUAGUAUUAAUUAUUAAUUCUAGACCCUCAUUGUAAACAAUCAGUCCUCUUAACCAAGGGGCAAUGGCAUCAAAACUUAUGCUUGUCAAUGAGUUCUUAAAUUGAGUGUAGAACGUUCAGCACAUAAAGAGUUUUAGCUCAGAUCCUCGACAAUCUAUCAGAAUGAGUUGACAGACCAACCAAAAAUGGUGCUAGUUAGUCAUAAAUCUAUCUGUUUAAGCAUUGAUAUUAAUUAAAUUUACCAUAACCCAUCAGCUUAAACUAAUUCAAUUGUGCAGCUUAAACUAAUUCAAUUGGUGGUUUAGCAUGUUAUCGGAGCAGCAAGAGGUCCAUGACAUUUUCUCUCCAAUUGAUUUCCACCUGUUAAGCAUUUUGUAAACUUUGAAAGCCCACAAGUGAGAAGAGUGCUAAAUAUUGGUAUAAUCAAAUUUAUCAUAAUUGAUUAGCUUAAGCUUUUGAAUAAACUCCACAUAUUAAAUGCACUUUAAAUCUUAAAAAGAAGCAAGCAAAGGUUAUUCAGUCUCUCACAGCUUGCUCAGAAGCACCAACGUAUUUGUUUAAAAGUUCAGGCCCUUUGACUGAUAUGAAUCGCAAUGAACAAGCAGCAGCAGCAGCACCAACUAUGUGUGUCUUGCCACAACCAGGAGGUCCGUAUAGGAGAACAUUUGACCGUAACCUUAAAGGGGCUUGAGCAAAGAUAUUGGGAAACUUUGAUGGAAAUACAAUCAUCUGCUCAAAGAUAUAAGGGAACAUUGAAGGCAAUACAAGCAUAUAAUACAUGAAUGUGAAGCAAAAAUAUUAAAAACAGAAAGCGCUAACGUAAUGCAGGAUAUGGAGGAGAACAAAAGAAAACAUAUAUUUUGAAUUAAUGAAGAUCAGUGAAGCAGAAUUCAAUCUUUUAAAGUUACAAUUGCAUGAAGGCAUUUGAACAAUUAAGAGAUAAGCCUUCCAAUUGGUUAACAAAAAAAAGAAAAAACAGAUAAUUACAGAAAUAUUGAACUUCACAGCCCAGAGUCCACGUAUCACCAAAGCAAACAUAGAAAUGCUUCAAAAUAAUAUAAAUUCAUCAAGGCAUGUAUCCUUGAGCCAAAAGGUCAAUGGUUUGAGUCUCCCAUCCCAACAUGUUGUUGAACAAAAAAAAUAAAAUAACUAUCCAGAUUCAUUAAUGCUAGAGAUCAAGAAAC
rnacentral:lncRNA from 1 species